GAAAGAAUCGUUUCGUCUGCAUCCUGCAUUGCCUUUAUUAGUACCACGCAGAGCAAGCGAGAGUGGCAGCAUUGGUGGCUAUACCAUUCCCAAAGAUACAACUCUUAUGUUGAAUGUUUGGGCUAUCCACAGGGACCCUCAACUUUGGGAUAAUCCCUUAGAAUUUCGACCCGAGAGGUUUCUGAAUGUUGGUAUCGAGAGUAAGUUCGAUUACUCAGGUAACAAUUUUCAGUACUUGCCAUUUGGUUCCGGUAGAAGGAUGUGUGCUGGGAUUCCUCUAGCUGAGAGGAUGCUGAUGUUUGUUUUGGCUUCGUUAUUGCACUCAUUCGAGUGGGAAUUGCCAGCUGGCACAAAGCUAAACUUAUCUGAAAAAUUUGGGAUUGUCAUUAAGAAAAAAGAGCCUUUGGUUGCUAUUCCAACACCAAGACUAUCCAAUUCAGAGCUCUACCAUUAAGACAGAAUGAUUGUGAUGAUUUUGUUAGUAUCGGAAGAUUUGUAUGUUAUUUCAAGUUCAAUCGUAAUAAAAUAUUUUAAUAAAAGUCCUCCGUUGCUAAUUUUUUUUUUUCAACGGCAUAAUCUGUCAUCGUGCUUGUGUUUGGAGCUACUUUGGAAUGAUUAUUUUUGAAUUACAAUUUAUAAAUAUUUACGUUUUAAAUUUUUUAUAAGAGUCUAAAUUUAUACACGUUCAGUAAAAGAUUCCCUAAAAGCUUUACAAUUCAAAAUUCUAUUAAAAGUAUAGAUGAAACUUUUAUACCUACUAAUUUUUUGGUCUAUUCUACGAGUUUAAAGAGGAGAUAUUUCUAGAGUUAGCAAAAAGUGUUACAUGAUUGUUUUCGCGUAAUGUCAUUUUUUAUUGUGUUAAAUUUAGUUUGACUCAAAUAUGACCCAUUUAAUAAUCGUGUCAAAAUAUUGAAAUUUGAACUCAACACAGAAAAUAAAUGGGUGACCAGUCACACCCAUUUAAUAAUUAGGUAACCAUGUCACUUAAUACGACAUAACCCAAUAACUCGUUUAAUACAUAUUUAACAUAAUUUAUAUUGUACAUUGUACACCCUUUUGUCAUAAAUUACACUAUUUUAUAUUUCUAAAUAAUAUUAUAUAUUGAUAUUGUAUAAAAAAAAUCAAUAAUCUCAAAAUUUGUACACCUCCUAACUUUUAAAAAGAAAUAAAAAACUAAUUAAUUAAUGUUUAUUUUAUUCAUUAAUAUAUCAUAAUCCUACAUGUGUUUUAUUUGUUAUUUUUUUAUUUAAAAAGAUAGGAAGGUGGAUGAAACUCAAAUAAAUUUUUAGCCUAUCUUGAUCUUUCAAGUUUCUUAUUUAAGUGGCCAGCUAAAGAAAAUUACUUGAAGCUACUCCAUCAAUUUAACAAAUUUUAUUUAUUUAUUUAAUGGAGGUGUAGAAAAUAAAAGUAUCUGCAAGCACAUUGCAAUAGUGAAAGCAAUGUACCGGUGUUGCAACAUAACUGAACCUUGAUAACCGAUCACAUAUUUUAAGUUUUAACAUUGGUAGUUCACGGAUCGGUUUCUACUUCCACGAACAAUUAUUGAAGGAAAUGAGUUUUUUUUUUAAUGAAUAUUUAUAGACCCCGAUUAAAUAUUCGAAUAUAUAAUAAAAGAGAAACUGACAUAGAAAUGAGAAAGAUAUUUGGAGGAGGCAAAAAAAAAAAAAAAAAAAAUGCAACAGAGAAUUAGAUCAGUAACACAAAUAACUAAUUAAUUCAUCUAUACAUCAUAAUCCUAUUUGUAUCUUCUUCCUUCUUCUAAUUUACAUAUAAAUUUGGUUAGAUAAAACAUAUUUUAAUACUCGGUCACAAGCGGUGGAUAUAGAAAAUUAAUUUAGAGGGGGUAAUACCAUAACGAAAAAUAAUGAUUCAUAAUUAAAAUCAACCCCAACAUCAAAACUUAUUUACAAGAUUACGCCCAGUCAAAGGUAAAUUUUCUUAAAAACUAAUAUGAAAUUAAAUAAAUUUAACUUUUAGUGGGUUCAAGUGCCCACGCAUUCUGAACGUAGAUCCACCCCUGGCCCCGACUGAAGCAUUUUUUUACAAUAUGUACUCAGUUUAUCAGCAGGAACAACCUUCCACUUUAAAUUAAAAUUUUCACUUAAAAAUGAUUAAUGUUAAUGAGGUUAGCAACAAAAAUGAGUUUAAUUAGAGAAUAUUAUAAGAGAAAUUAUAUUUUUUGACUUUUAAUAAAUUAAAAUAUAUUAAAAUAUUAUUAGUUGGUGGUGGUUUCACGUCAGAUUAAGACGUGACACUUUACUUAUGAGGUCGAGACAAUCGACUUAAAUUAUUUCAAUGCAUUUAAAAUUUAUACUAAUGGCUAUUAUUCUUUAUCCAAAUUAAUACGAUAAUUAAUAACAUACAAUUGAAAUAAUUAAUAUUAUCACUUGGCAAUAAAUAAAGCUCUUGUGCUUGAAUCGUCACACAUGAUCAUUUCAUUCCUUUAUUUACUUUGCUAACACAGAUUUUGAGGCAUUAAAACUAAAUAAUAAUUGAAUAUGGCUUUGUGCGUCGCUGACGCCAGCAGCAAGGGGACCUCAAUUAUCACUUUUUAAGUUGAUUAUUGCAGUGUUUUUAUUUUUUAUAUUAAAAUUAAGUCGAUUUGUUAUAAUAAACUUAGUUGAGUUUAAUGGUAUUACUACAAAAAUUGAAUAGUCAUUAAAUAUUUUAAUAUUUUUAUCGCAAUCAUUGCUGUAGCAUUUAUUUAUUGUAUGAUGAAUUUUAAAAUUUAUAAAAUUAUUUGUUAUUUAAUUACCCCAGAUGCUACAUCACCUGAAACUUAAUAAAGGGAACGUAGCAUUGCCAUUACUCAACAUUCACUCUUAUGACUUUUUUUUUUUUUUUUGUUUUAUCUACUAGGUAUUCUGGGGAGGGCCCCAACUGUGGGAGGCACCUUUAAGCCCAUACCACAAUUCAGAUUAGAAGUCCCCGCUCGAACCAGGAGGCACAUGUUCUCCCAACAAAGACGACUUCCCUGCGACUCGAACUGUGAAGCAAACCCAGUCAAACCACUUAAAGGGACUCCAUUACCAGUGGAGCCAACACUUUAUUGGUACUCUUAUGACUUUAUGACAUUAGAAUUAAAAUCUUUCGUACAUUUAAUUUGUUUGCUUCCAAAUUAAAUCUUUAAUAAAUAUUUUUUUCACAUUAUCAUGAAUGGACAAAACUCCAACGAAAAUAACUACACAAGAACAAUCUAUGCUAGUAUUAUAUGCCACGAUAUCUAUAACUUUGUCAGGAUCGAUCGGUCUAAUUUUUACGCAGAACUUUUUGUCAAUCGACAAACACCUCACAGAGCUUGUCACCUGUCAGCCGCAUUAUUACGAUGUAAAAUUGCACCGGAAUAUCUUGAAUUAUUAGUAGAAUAACGAAGACUAUUUGGAGCAAUAAAAACAAAUAACGCAGAUGAAAACAAUGGCUGAAAUUAUGUAAGUGAGCCCCAAAGUUUUUGCUAUUUCCUGGAAAUCCCCAAUUUGAAUGGACUAGAGGGAGGCACGUAAGAAAUACAUUUUCUUCCUAGACAAUGACAGCUAUGCAUCAAGCCACGGUGGCGUCAGUAUUGAAAUUAAGGUGUAAUUAUUCAGCCAAUGAGCCUUACACAUCAAGAUAAAAGUCAAGAAAAUGGAAAUUUGGCCGUUUCCAUUUUGAAGUUAAAAACAAAGUUUCUUUCGUUUUGUGGGCGACUCGACUGAUCAGUUGGUGGACACCUCUAUUGAAAAUAUCUCUGACAUUUCACUCGACAAACUUGUUAAUACAAAAAAUCUAUGAUUUUAUCGUCUGUAUACUGUAGAAAAAAAUUGUCUAUACAUCUGUGGUAUAGAUUUUAUGUAUUUCAUUACAAAAUGCUGGCCGUUAGAACUCUAUCUACAUCUAUUUAUAAGAUAUUUCGUUAUAAUUCAUUCUGAAACACUAAAACUAAAUAAUCGAAUAUGGCUUUCCCGAUCGAUGAUGCCAGCAGCAAUGAGACUGCAAUUAUCACUUGUUUAGUUUCUGUGCUUGCCGUGGUUUAUUUCGCAUGGAAUGUGAAAAAAUCAAGGAAAGCAAAUGCUACACUGCCACCAGGACCUCGCGGCUUGCCUGUAUUCGGAUACCUCCCAUUUCUCGGAAAUACUGACUUACACAAGAAGUUCACGGAAUUAUCUGGAGUUUAUGGUCCGAUCUUCAAGCUUUGGCUUGGAAAUAAAUUGUGUGUAGUGGUGAGCUCACCUUCCCUAAUUAGACAAGUGGUUCGUGAUCAAGAUACAACAUUCGCGAACCGUGACCCACCGAUGGCUGCACUAGUGGUCUCCUAUGGUGGCAAUGAUAUUGUACGGUCCAAUUACGGUCCCGAAUGGAGAAAGUUGCGCAAAUUUUUUGUGGGCAAGAUGAUGAGUAACGCAAGCCUUGAUGCUUGUUAUGCUCUAAGAAAACAAGAGGUUAAAAAUACUAUCAGGGAUUUGUACAACAACGACAACAAAAUUGGUAAGCCCAUUGACAUUGGUGAAUUGUCGAUUUCAACCUUGGUAUGUGCUAUGCAGAACAUGCUGUGGGCCUGUGGGGUGAAGCGCUUGAAAUAAGAGAGGAAGGGAUCACUAAUCAUGGGGCUGAGCUAAAAUUUAAGCUGGCAGAACUCAUGGUGCUAGCGGGAACACCGAAUAUUUCAGACAUCUUUCCAAUGCUUUCAUGGCUCGACAUACAAGGUAUAGAGAGGAGAGCAAAGAAGAUUUCACUCUGGUUUGAACAUAUUAUAAAUUCUACUGUUGAAAAGCAUAGAAGCAAGGACUUUAUUGUUGAAGGCAAAGAAAGAGCAGGGAAAAAUUUGGAAGGAUCAAGGAACAAGAACUUCUUGCAGUUACUAUUGGAGCUUCAAGAAAAUGAAGACGGUUCUUCCUCAAUUAGCAUGAACCAAUUUAAGGCCGUACUCGUGGUAUGUUAAGCAACUAGCCGCAAACAGUUAAACAAGCACAGCUGUAUAUUUUGCAUGAGUGAUAUUUUCAACUUUUUUUUUAAUUAGAAUUUUAUUGUAACCUUUUGGACAGGAUAUAAUUACGGGUGGAACCGACACCACAACUACGAUGGUGGAAUGGACAAUGGCAGAGUUGAUACAGCAUCCACAAGUAAUGAAGAAAGUUCAGGAAGAAUUAGCUCAAGUUGUGGGCAUGGACAGUUGUGUUGAAGAAUUUCAUUUGCCUAAACUGAAAUAUUUAGAUGCUGUGGUGAAAGAAUCGUUUCGUCUACAUCCUGCAUUGCCUUUAUUAGUACCACGCAGAGCAAGCGAGAGUGGCAGCAUUGGUGGCUAUACCAUUCCCAAAGAUACAACUCUUAUGUUGAAUGUUUGGGCUAUCCACAGGGACCCUCAACUUUGGGAUAAUCCCUUAGAAUUUCGACCCGAGAGGUUUCUGAAUGUUGGUGUCGAGAGUAAGUUCGAUUACUCAGGUAACAAUUUUCAGUACUUACCAUUUGGUUCUGGUAGAAGGAUGUGUGCUGGGAUUCCUCUAGCUGAGAGGAUGCUGAUGUUUGUUUUGGCUUCGUUAUUGCACUCAUUUGAGUGGGAAUUGCCAGCUGGCACAAAGCUAAACUUAUCUGAAAAAUUUGGGAUUGUUAUUAAGAAAAAAGAGCCUUUGGUUGCUAUUCCAACACCAAGACUAUCCAAUUCAGAGCUUUACCAUUAAGACAGAAUGAUUGUGAUGAUUUUGUUAGUAUCGGAAGAUUUGUAUGUUAUUUCAAGUUCAAACGUAAUAAAAUAUUUUAAUAAAAGUCCUCCGUUGCUAUUUUUUUUUUUCAACGGCAUAAUCUGUCAUCAUGCUUGUGUUUGGAGCUACUUUGGAAUGAUUAUUUUUUAAUUACAAUUUAUAAAUAUUUACAUUUUAAAAUUUUUAUAAGAGUCUAAAUUUAUACAUGUUCAAUAAAAGAUUCCCUAAAAAUUUUACAAUUCAAAAUUCUAUUAAAGUAUAGAUGAAACUUUUAUACCUACUAAUUUUUUGGUCUAUUCUACGAGUUUAAAGAGAAUAUAUUUUUAGAGCUAGCAAAAAGAGGUACUUGAUUGUUUUCGCGUUAUGUCAAUUUUUUUAUUGUGUUAAAUUUAAUUUGACCCACAUAUGACCCAUUUAAUAAUUGUGUCAAAAUAUCAAAAUUUAAACUCGACACGGAAAAUAAAUGGAUGACCAUACACACCCAUUUAAGAAUUAGGUAACUAUGUCACUUAAUACGAUAUAACCCAAUAACUCGUUUAAUACAUAUUUAACUUAAUUUACAUUGUACAUUGUACAACCUUUUAUCAUAAAUUACACUAUUUUAUAUUUCUAAAUAAUAUUAUAUAUUGAUAUUAUAAAAAAAAAUCAAUAAUCUCAAAAUUUGUACACCUCCUAACUUUUGAAAAGAAAUAAUAAAACUAAUUAAUUAAUGUUUAUUUUAUUCAUUAAUAUAUCAUAAUCCUACAUGUAUUUUAUUUGUUAUUUUUUUUUAUUUAAAAAGAUAGGAGGGUGGAUGAAACUCAAAUAAAUUUUUAGCCUAUCCUGAUCUUUCAAGUUUCUUAUUUAGGUGGCCAGCUGAAAAAAAUUACUUGAAAGCUACUCCAUCAAUUUAACAAAUUUUAUUUACUUAAUUAAUGGAGGUGUAGAAAAUAAAAGUAUCUGCAAGUACAUUGCAAUAGUGAAAGCAAUGUACCGGUGUUGGAACAUAACUGAACCCUGGUUACCUAUCACAUAUUUUAAGUUUUAACUUUGGUAGUUCACGGAUCGGUUUCUACUUCCACGAACAAUUAAUGUAGGAAAUGAGUUUUCUUUAUUUUUUAAUGAGUAUUUAUAGACCCCGAUUAAAUAUUGGAAUCUAUCUAUCUAUAUAUAUAUAAAGUUAGGACUUGAGGAGGUGAUGUAGCAUCACCAUUUCUCAUCUUUGUAUAUUCUCUAUUAUCUAAUAAAUAGAGAAAUUUUCUUUUACAUUUAGUUUUUCAUCUUCUCAUAAUUAAUUUGAUUGUCAUUACACAAUAACAAUUAUGUAAAGAUUUUAAUGAGACAUAUUUUUUGUAAUGAACAAGGAGGAGUAUUAUGAAUUUAUUAAAAUAAAUGUAGAUGUUCAUAACAUAUAUCUCUUAGUCUCCUCACUAUCUCUCAUUAGCAACAUUUAGCUUCCCUAUAACUCCCACUAUCUCAUAAGGAAUUAUGAUCCAUAAUUUUUCAUUAAUUUCAUGGAGUGAUUAUGUAACUAUAAAAGAAGAGCUCAUCUUUUUGUUUUGUACACACACAAUUGGAAUGAAUAAAAUCACUCUAUAAUAUAUUCUCUCAUUUUAUUCUUUAUUUUGCGUUGCUUCUUUAUUUGUAUUGCUGGCUAAUAGUUUUUAUUUUUAUUUUUUAUAAGGUUGCCUCAUCUUAAAAAAAAAUCAAUUCAUAUUUUUUAUCAGUUUCAUCAAGUGUAAAGUAAGAAAAAAAUAUAAUACUAAUUUUUUUUUUCAAAUAAAUGUAGAUGUUCAUAACAUAUAUCUCUUAGUCUCCCAACUAUCUCUCAUUAGCAACAUUUAGCUUCCCUAUAACUCCCACUAUCUCAUAAGGAAUUUUGAUCCAUAAUUUUUCAUUAAUUUCAUGGAGUGAUUAUGUAACUAUAAAAUAAGAGCUCAUCUUUUUUGUUUUGUACACACAUAAUUGGAAUAAAUAAAAUCACUCUAUAAUAUAUUCUCUCAUUUUAUUCUUUAUUUGUAUUGCUGGCUAAUAGUUUUUAUUUUUAUUUUUUAUAAGGUUGCCUCAUCUUAAAAAAAAAUCAAUUCAUAUUUUUUAUCAGUUUCAUCAAGUGUAAAGUAAGAAAAAAAUAUAAUACUAAUUUUUUUUUUCAAAUAAAUGUAGAUGUUCAUAACAUAUAUCUCUUAGUCUCCCCACUAUCUCUCAUUAGCAACAUUUAGCUUCCCUAUAACUCCCACUAUCUCAUAAGGAAUUUUGAUCCAUAAUUUUUCAUUAAUUUCAUGGAGUGAUUAUGUAACUAUAAAAUAAGAGCUCAUCUUUUUUGUUUUGUACACACAUAAUUGGAAUAAAUAAAAUCACUCUAUAAUAUAUUCUCUUAUUUUAUUCUUUAUUUUGCGUUGCUUCUUUAUUUGUAUUGCUGGCUAAUAGUUUUUUUUUUUUUUUUUUAUAAGGUUGCCUCAUCUUAAAAAAAAAUCAAUUCAUAUUUUUUAUCAGUUUCAUCAAGUGUAAAGUAAGAAAAAAAUAUAAUACUAAAUUUUUUUUUCAAAGCCGCGUGAAGCGCGGUUCUAUUUUCUAGUAUAUAAUAAAAGAGAAACUGACAUAGAAAUGAGAAAGAUAUUUGGAGGAGGCAAAAAAAAAAAAAAAAAAUGCAACAGAGAAUUAGAUCAGCAACACAAGUAACUAAUUCAUCUAUACAUCAUAAUCCUAUUUGUAUCUUCUUCCUUCUUCUAAUUUACAUAUAAAUUUGGUUAGAUAAAACAUAUUUUAAUACUUGGUCACAAGUGGUGGAUAUAGAAAAGGGUAAUUUUCAGUUUCAUCACCUGAGGUUUGGGGUCCCUUCAGUUAGAUAGAUUCUAUGAGGGUAUCUCCACUUUGCACUCCUACCGUUCGUAUAAUGUUUAGUAUAAGUUUAGUUUACGAGAAUAAAUAAGUAAUUGCAUGAUAAAUUAUUAAAUAUUAAGAUAAUUUUGAAUUUUUACACUCUGCAAACUGGAACCUGUUGAAACAUUGUGGUGCUCGCUAGCCAAUAAUCAAAAAUCAAACGACACCCAUUUUGAAGAAACCCUAAGACAAAAUCAAACGACACCCAUUUCAAGCUUAUUAACUAGAGAGAUUUCGAAGAAACCCUAAGUCAAAAUCAAACGACACCCAUUUCUCAUUCCACUCUCCUCGAACUCGAAUCCCUCUUACAAUCGAUUGAUCCAGACACCCUUUACCGAUUCACCGAUCAACUCUCCUCCAAAAAAACUCUCUUUAUCCUCUCUCAUUCCUCCAAUUUCUUGCGCCAUGGAUGCGGGCCCCACCAAUAUCUCCCUCUUGGCCUCCAAAAUUUACCUUGCAUUGCUUCUCUCCCCGAACUCCCCUGUCUUCACUUUGUUCACUCCCAUGGCGUUCCUCUCCCUUCGCCGCUCCCUCAAGAGUUUUAAGCGCGUGUCUGAUAGCGGGUCCCACUCUAGUGUUAACCACAAAAGAAAAGGUGGUGGCAGGCGGGUUCAGCGGGCGAAUGAAUUUAACGAGGAUGAGAGCGAGGGUGGAUUUGAUGCUAGGAGUUUGUGUUUGGUUGUUGAGAAGUUGGAAUUUGUUGUGGGGUUGGUUUAUUUGAAUAGAUUUCUAGAUUGUUUGAAGUCUUUGAUACAGACUGUUGUUGAGAUUCUGGUCUCUUUGCUUGAAUUGGGAGGUUAUGAGAAAUUGAAUGUUUGUUUUCAGGGAUUUUGAUUAAGUUGUUGAGGGGGGAGCAUGGUGAUGUGAUGAGUACAACUGCAUAGGUUUUGAAGUCAUUAGUGCCAUUGAUUUUGAUGGGCAAAUGUCAAGCGAGGAGUUUUGCAUUAGGAUUUUUGAUGAAUGGAGUGAUGGGUGUGGCUAAAGAGAUCGACGGGGUCAAGAAGGCAGUUGUGAAUUUGCCGAAGUACUUGGUGAACAAGGCCCUGGAGAAGGCCGAGCUGAGGGGAUUAGCUGUGGAGGCAAUUAUGGAGAUUGUUAAAGCAAUGGAGGUUGAGGAUCAAAUGGGGUUUGUUGAAUAUACUGUUAAAGCUGACUAAAGGGAAGGCUAAUCUUAGCCUAGUUGCAGUUGAUCUGAUAUUAAUGCUAAUGACGUCGAUGAGAGAUCCAUUGAAUCUCUCGUUUACGACAUUCAGUUUAGUUAAUAAGCUUGAAAAAAAAAAAAAAGGGGCUCCAGUUGGUUAUUAAAAUAGUUUUAUUGAUGCAAGGGUGUUUUAGUCAUUUAAUCAGUCAAUUAACAGUCAAAUAAAUGUUAUCCUAACGGUAGGGGUGUAAAGUGGAGAUACACUCAUACAAUCUAUCAAAGUGAAAGGACCCCAAAUCUCAGGGGAGGAAACCGAAAAUUACCCAUAUAGAAAAUUAAUUUAGAGGGGGUAAUACCGUAACGAAAAAUAAUGAUUCAUAAUUAAAAUCAACCCCAACAUCAAAACUUAUUUACAAGAUCACCCCCAGUCAAAGGUAAUUUUUCCUAAAAACUAAUACGAAAUUAAAUAAAUUUAACUUUUAGUGGGUUCAAUUGCCCACGCAUUCUGAACGUAGAUCCACCCCUGGCCCCGACUGAAGCAUUUUUUACAAUAUGUACUCUGUUUAUCAGCAGGAACAACCUUCCACUUUAAAUUAAAAUUUUCACUUAAAAAUGAUUAAGGUUAAUGAGGUUAGUAACAAAAAUGAGUUUAAUUAGAGAAUAUUAUAAGAGAAAUUCUAUUUUUUGACUUUUAAUAAAUUAAAAUAUAUUAAAAUAUUAUUAAUUGGUGGUGGUUUCACAUCAAAUUAAGACAUGACACCUAAUUUAUGAGGUGGAGACAAUCGGCUUAAACUAUUUUAAUGCAUUUAAAAUUUGUACUAAUGACUAUCAUUCUUUGUCCUAAUUAAUACGAUAAUUAAUAACAUACAAUUGAAAUAAUUAAUAUUAGCACUUGGCAAUAAAUAAAGCUCUUGUGCUUGAAUCGGCGCACAUGAUCAUUUCAUUCCUUUAUUUACUUUGCUACCACAGAUUUUGAGGCAUUAAAACUAAAUAAUAAUUGAAUAUGGCUUUGUGCGUCGAUGACGCCAGCAACAAGGGGACCGCAAUUAUCACUUUUUAAGUUGCUACUAAAAUUGAUUUUAGUAGUGAUAUGAUUAUUGCAGUGUUUUUAUUUUUUAUAAUAAAAUUAAGUCGAUUUGUUAUAAUAAACUUAGUUGAGUUUAAUGGUAUUAUUACAGAAAUUAAAGUCAUUAAAUAUUUUAAUAUUUUUAUCGUAAGCAUUGACAUGGUAUUUAUUUAUUUAUUGUAUGAUGGAUUUUAAAAUUUAUAAAAUUAUUUGUUAUUAAAUUACCCCCAGAUGCUACAUCACCUGAAACUUAAUAAAGGGAACGUAGCAUUGCCAUUACUCAACAUUCACUCUUAUGACUUUAUGACAUUAGAAUUAAAAUCUUUCGUACAUUUAAUUUGUUUGCUUCCAAAUUAAUCUUUAAUAAAUAUUUUUUUCACAUUAUCAUCAAUGGAAAAAACUCCAACGAAAAUAACUACACAAGAACAAUCUAUGCUAGUAUUAUAUGCCACGAUAUCUAUAACUUUGUCAGGAUCGAUCAUUCUAAUUUUUACGCAGAACUUUUUGUCAAUCGACAAACACCUCACAGAGCUUGUCACUUGUCAGCCGCAUUAUUACGAUGUAAAAUUGUACCGGAAUAUCUUGAAUUAUUAGUAGAAUAACGAAGACUAUUUGGAGCAAUAAAAGAAUCCAGCUGUGGUGCCACAAUUAUAUGGUACCACAGCUGGAUCUAACCAUUAAAUUUAGCUCUGGUGACAAUUGUGGGUUAGAUCCAAUGGUUGGAUCCAUCUGUGGUACCAUACAACAGUGGUACCACAGAUUUGUCCGCAAUAAAAACAAAUAACGCAGAUGAAAACAAUGGCUAAAAUUAUGUAAGUGAGCCCCAAAGUUUUUGCUAUUUCCAGGAAAUCCCAAAUUUGAUUGGACUAGAGGGAGGCAGGUAAGAAAUACAUUUUCUUCCUAGACAAUGACAGCUAUGACAUCAAGCCACUGCUAUUAUUAAUUAUCCCCUGGUCAUUACAGUUUGUUAAUAUUCAUUCUGAAACAGUAAAACAAAAACGAAAUUGAAUACAUCAACGAGACCGCAAUUAUCACUUGUUUAGUUGCGGUAUUUAACUUAAUUUUAAUCUAAUAUAUUUGUUAGUUAAACUUUUAAUAAUCAAAUAAUUUUGAUUUAAAAAUAAAGUUAUAGAAAUUAAUAAUUAUUAAAAAUUCACAAUUAAGGGAACGUUCAUCAAACACACAUAGCUAUUGUUUUCUCUAUAUAUUGCAGUGUGUACGAUAUUGAGGGUUGAAGUCCCAAGCAUGCUCUAAAAUCCAGAUAAUAUUUAGAUCCAAGCAAACUAGAGUAGUGAUUUAAUGAAAAUCAUAUGUAUUGAAAAAAAAUGAAAAGAGGUCAUAAACUAGAACAAAAAUAUAAUCAUAUUCAAGUAAACUUAAUAGAUAAACCCUAAGUUCGUGCACGAGAGUUGAACUCUAUGAAUUUUACUCAAUAAUUUGAUGCAUACAAAAUAUAUACGAGUUUAUGAGUGACGUAUAAGUACUAAAAGAGUUAAGUAAUAAGUAAAUAAAAUAAACCAAGUGGCAUGACAUUGAUUCAAUAUUAUUGUAUCAAUAUUUAUGAAAGAAAUUGUAUUAAAAUUAAAUUGUAUGUUGAGUAUUGAUCUUGUCGUCUCAUUAUGUUUAGAUAUCUUAAUAUUAAAUCGAUAUAUGUUGUAUCGUUGGUUGAUUAAAUGUCAUAUCAUUUAAAGUAUAUCCUUAACUAACUGAAUUAAUAGCAUAAAUAAUUUAUUUCAAGAAGUCUUUGACCAGGUAAUGUAAAUGAGAUUUGCAGCUUUGAGAAGAAACAUAAUAUUUCAAACGUAGAAUAUUAAAACGUAACUAUCAUAUUAUCAUUCUUGUUUUUUAAAUCUGAAUAAUUGAGAAUGCAAUUUUAGAAGUCAACUUUAAUGAGAUCGCAUACCAAUUCCAAUAUUUAAUCAAAUCUUGACCGUCCCUCAAUCAAUCAACGGUGCGAAACAAUUAGUGAAUCCACAUAUGAGCCAUGAUUAGUUGGUGGUGAUGAAGGCUGUUAUUGGCGGAGCUCAAAGUUAUUAUGUGCAUGUUGGGUGGAUAUCUCUAUUGAAAAUAUCUCUGAUAUUUCACUCGACAAACUUGUUAAUAUAAAAAAUCUAUGGUUUUGCCGUCUGUAAACUGUAGAAAAAAUUGACUCUACGUUAAUCUAAAUGUUUGAGGUGAUUAGAAAUUACCGACUAUAAAGGGGAAUAAUUUAUAGGUUGAUUGAUACAUCUCUAUUGAAAAUAUCUCUGACAUUUCACUCGACAAACUCAUUAAUAUAAAAAAUCUAUGGUUUUGCCAUCUGUAUACUGUAGAAAAAUUUGUCUAUACAUUAAUCUAGAUGUUGGAGGUGGUUAAUAUUUUAUGUAUUUCAUUAUCAAAUGCUGGCCGUUGGGACCCUAUCUACAUCUAUUAAUAAGAUUAACAGGUGCCAGACUAGGCCAUUACAAAUUAUCCCCUCAUCAGAUAUUUCGUUAAAAUUCAUUCUGAAACACUAAAACUAAAUAAUUGAAUAUGGCUUUGCGGGUCGAUGAUGCCAGCAGCAAUGAGACUGCAAUUAUCACUUGUUUAGUUUCUGUGCUUGCCGUGGUUUACUUCGCAUGGAAUGUGAAAAAAUCAAGGAAAGCAAAUGCUAAACUUCCACCAGGACCUCGCGGCUUGCCUGUAGUCGGAUACCUCCCAUUUCUCGGAACUACUGACUUGCACAAGAAAUUCACGGAAUUAUCCGGAGUUUAUGGUCCGAUCUUCAAGCUCUGGCUCGGAAACAAAUUAUGUGUCGUGGCGAGCUCACCUUCCCUAGUUAAACAAGUGGUUCGAGAUCAAGAUACAACAUUCGCCAACCGUGACCCGCCGAUCGCUGUACUAGCGUUCACCUAUGGUGGCAAUGAUAUUGCAUGGUCCAAUUACGGUCCCGAAUGGAGAAAUUUGCGCAAAGCUUUUGUGGGCAAGAUGAUGAGUAACGCAAGCCUUGAUGCUUGUUAUGCUCUAAGAAAACAAGAGGUUAAAAAUACUAUCAGGGAUUUGUACAACAACGACAACAAAAUUGGUAAGCCCAUCGACAUUGGUGAAUUGUCAAUUUCAACCUUGGUAUGUGUUAUUCAGAACAUGCUGUGGGGUGAAGCGCUUGAAACAAGAGAGGAAGGGAUCACUAAUCUUGGGGCUGAGCUAAAAUUUAAGCUGGCAGAACUCAUGGUCCUAAUGGGAACACCGAAUAUUUCGGACGUCUUUCCAGUGCUUUCAUGGUUUGAUAUACAAGGUAUAGAGAGGAAAGCAAAGAAGAUUUCACUCUGGUUUGAAAAUAUUAUAAAUUCUACUGUUGAAAAGUAUAGAAGCAAGGACUUUAUUGUUGAAGGUAAAGAAAGAGCAGGGGAAAAUUUUGAAGGAUCAAGGAACAAGAACUUCUUGCAGUUACUAUUGGAGCUUCAAGAAAAUGAAGACGGUUCUUCCUCAAUUAGCAUGAACCAAUUUAAGGGCGUGCUCGCGGUAUGUUAAGCAACUAGCCACGAACAGUUAUACAAGCACAGUUGUAUAUUUGCAUGAGUGACGCUUCUCAACUUUUUUUAAUUUUUUAAAUUAAAGUUUUAUUGUAAUCUUUUGAACAGGAUAUAAUUACGGGUGGAACCGACACCACAACUACGAUGGUGGAAUGGACAAUGGCAGAGUUGAUGCAGCAUCCACAAGUAAUGAAGAAAGUUCAGGAAGAAUUAGCUCAAGUUGUGGGCAUGGACAGUUGUGUUGAAGAAUUUCAUUUGCCUAAACUGAAAUAUUUAGAUGCUGUGGUGAAAGAAUCGUUUCGUCUGCAUCCUGCAGUGCCUUUAUUAGUACCACGCAGAGCAAGCGAGAGUGGCAGCAUUGGUGGCUAUACCAUUCCCAAAGAUACAACUCUUAUGUUGAAUGUUUGGGCUAUCCACAGGGACCCUCAACUUUGGGAUAAUCCCUUAGAAUUUCGACCCGAGAGGUUUCUGAAUGUUGGUGUCGAGAGUAAGUUCGAUUACUCAGGUAACAAUUUUCAGUACUUACCUUUUGGUUCUGGUAGAAGAAUGUGUGCUGGGAUUCCUCUAGCUGAGAGGAUGCUGAUGUUUGUUUUGGCUUCGUUAUUGCACUCAUUUGAGUGGGAAUUGCCAGCUGGCACAAAGCUAAAUUUAUCUGAAAAAUUUGGGUUUGUCAUUAAGAAAAAAGAGCCUUUGGUUGCUAUUCCAACACCAAGACUAUCCAAUUCAGAGCUUUACCAUUAAAACAGAAUGAUUGUGAUGAUUUUGUUAGUAUCGGAAGAUUUGUAUGUUAUUUCAAGUUCAAUCGUAAUAAAAUAUUUUAAUAAAAGUCCUCCGUUGCUAAUUUUUUUUUUCAACGGCAUAAUCUGUCAUCAUGCUUGUGUUUGGAGCUACUUUGGAAUGAUUAUUUUUGAAUUACAAUUUAUAAAUAUUUAGGUUUUAAAUUUUUUAUAAGAGUCUAAAUUUAUACACGUUCAGUAAAAGAUUCCCUAAAAGCUUUACAAUUCAAAAUUCUAUUAAAAGUAUAGAUGAAACUUUUAUACCUACUAAUUUUUUGGUCUAUUCUACAAGUUUAAAGAGGAGAUAUUUCUAGAGCUAGCAAAAAGAGCUACCUGAUUGUUUUCGCGUUAUGUCAAUUUUUUUAUUGUGUUAAAUUUAAUUUGACCCACAUAUGACCCAUUUAAUAAUCGUGUCAAAAUAUUGAAACUUGAACUUGAUACGGAAAAUAAAUGGAUGACCACACACACCCAUUUAAGAAUUAGGUAACUAUGUCACUUAAUACGACAUAACCCAAUAACUCGUUUAAUACAUAUUUAACAUAAUUUACAUUGUACAUUGUACACCCUUUUGUCAUAAAUUACACUAUUUUAUAUUUCUAAAUAAUAUUAUAUAUUGAUAUUAUAAAAAAAUAUCAAUAAUCUCAAAAUUUGUACACCUCCUAACUUUUAAAAAGAAAUAAAAAAACUAAUUAAUUAAUGUUUAUUUUAUUCAUUAAUAUAUCAUAAUCCUACAUGUAUUUUAUUUGUUAUUUUUUUUAUUUAAAAAGAUAGGAGGGUGGAUGAAACUCAAAUAAAUUUUUAGCCUAUCCUGAUCUUUCAAGUUUCUUAUUUAGGAGGCCAGUUAAAAAAAAUUACUUAGAAAGCUACUCCAUCAAUUUAACAAAUUUUAUUUAUUUAAUUAAUGGAGGUGUAGAAAAUAAAAGUAUCUGCAAGCACAUUGCAAUAGUGAAAGCAAUGUACCGGUGUUGCAACAUAACUGAAUCUUGAUAACCUAUCACAUAUUUUAAGUUUUAAUAUUGGUAGUUCACGGAUCGGUUUCUACUUCCACGAACAAUUAUUGAAGGAAAUGAGUUUUUUUUUUAAUGAAUAUUUAUAGACCCCGAUUAAAUAUUCGAAUAUAUAAUAAAAGAGAAACUGACAUAGAAAUGAGAAAGAUAUUUGGAGGAGGCCAAAAAAAAAAAAAAAAAUGCAACAGAGAAUUAGAUCAGCAACACAAGUAACUAAUUAAUUCAUCUAUACAUCAUAAUCCUAUUUGUAUCUUCUUCCUUCUACUAAUUUACAUAUAAAUUUGGUUAGAUAAAACAUAUUUUAAUACUCGGUCACAAGCGGUGGAUAUAGAAAAUUAAUUUAGAGGGGGUAAUACCAUAACGAAAAAUAAUGAUUCAUAACUAAAAUCAACCCCAACAUCAAAACUUAUUUACAAGAUUACGCCCAGUCAAAGGUAAUUUUUCCUAAAAACUAAUACGAAAUUAAAUAAAUUUAACUUUUAGUGGGUUCAAGUGCCCACGCAUUCUGAACGUAGAUCCACCCCUGGCCCCGACUGAAGCAUUUUUUACAAUAUGUACUCAGUUUAUCAACAGGAACAACCUUCCACUUUAAAUUAAAAUUUUCACUUAAAAAUGAUUAAUGUUAAUGAGGUUAGCAACAAAAAUGAGUUUAAUUAGAGAAUAUUAUAAGAGAAAUUAUAUUUUUUGACUUUUAAUAAAUUAAAAUAUUAUUAGUUGGUGGUGGUUUCACGUCAGAUUAAGACGUGACACUUUACUUAUGAGGUCGAGACAAUCGACUUAAACUAUUUCAAUGCAUUUGAAAUUUGCACUAAUGGCUAUCAUUCUUUGUCCAAAUUAAUACGAUAAUUAAUAACAUACAAUUGAAAUAAUUAAUACUAGCACUUGGCAAUAAAUAAAGCUCUUGUGCUUGAAUCGUCACACAUGAUCACUUCAUUCCUUUAUUUACUUUGCUACCACAAAUUUUGAGGCAUUAUAACUAAAUAAUAAUUGAAUAGGGCUUUGUGUUACUUGUUGUGCGCGCGGAAUGCGGAAUCAAGCACACCAAAUUAUUACAGAAAAAUAAAGGACACAAUUAUUUGACGUGGUUCGGUAAUUAAACUUACAUCCACGGAGGCAAGAAAGAAUAAUUGUUUAUUUAACAAUUAAUAGAGUACAAAUAUUUGAGUAACGAAUCUCACUUCUCAGAAACCUAAAUAUACCCAAUACUCUCACACUCUGCAGGAAAGAUAAAUUAUCCAAACACACUUCUCUCACUUCUCUAAAAAACUUAAAAAUUUAAAAACUUAACAAUUUUGGAAUGCUUUAGAAUAGAAGAAGUGCCAUCUUAUAGGAAAAAUAAUGAUACUAUUGCACCAACCUCUUUACUAUUCCACCUAACAUAAGCAAAUUGUCAAUAGUGUCCAUUUAACUUUUUAUUUUUUUUCUUCAAUUGUUUAGUAGCCCUUUAAAAAUCUGCGUGGUUUCUUGAAAUUUAGAUGCCACAUGCAUGACUUUUCAACACUAAUUACUACGAUAAUUAAUAUUAGCACUUGGCAAUAAAUAAAGCUCUUGUGCUUGAAUCGUCACACACGAUCACUUCAUUCCUUUAUUUGCUUUGCUACCACAGAUUUUGAGGCAUUAAAACUAAAUAAUAAUUGAAUAUGGCUUUGUGCGUCGAUGACGCCAGCAACAAGGGGACCACAAUUAUCACUUUUUAAGUUGCUUUUAAAAUUGAUUUUAAUAGUGAUUUGAUUAUUGUAGUGUUUUUAUUUUUAUAUUAAAAUUAAGUCGAUUUGUUAUAAUAAACUUAGUUGAGUUUAAUGGUAUUACUACAUAAAUUGAAUAGUCAUCAAAUAUUUUAAUGUUUUUAUGGCAAGUGUUGACGUGGCAUUUAUUUGUUGUAUGAUGGAUUUUAAAAUUUAUAAAAUUAUUUGUUAUUAAAUUACCCCCAGAUGCUGCAUCACCUGAAACUUAAUAAAGGGCAUGUAGCAUUGCCAUUACUCAACAUUCACUCUUAUGACUUUAUGACAUUAGAAUUAAAAUCUUUCGUACAUUUAAUUUGUUUGCUUCCAGAUUAAUCUUUAAAAAUAUUUUUUUCACAUUAUCAUGAAUGGACAAAACUCCAACGAAAAUAACUACGCAAGAGCAAUCUAUGCUAGUAUUAUAUGCCACGAUAUCUAUAACUUUGUCAGGUCUCAGGAUCGAUCAUUCUAAUUUUUACGCAGAACUUUUAAUCAAUGGACAAACACCUCACCGAGCUUGUCGGCAGCAUUACUACGAUGUAAAAUUGUACCGGAAUAUCUUGAAGUAUUAGUAGAAUAAUGAAGACUAUUUGGAGCAAUAAAAACAAAUAACGCAGAUAAAAAAAAUGGCUAAAAUUAUGUAAGUGAGCCCCAAAGUUUUUGCUAUUUCCAGGAAAUCCCAAAUUUGAAUGGACUAGAGGGAGGCACGUAAGAAAUACAUUUUCUUCCUAGACAAUGACAGCUAUGACAUCAAGCCACGUAUUGAAAUUAAGGUGUAAUUAUUCAGCCAAUGAGCCUUACACACCAAGAUGUAUAAAAGUCAAGAAAAUGAAAUUUUAUCCCAAUUAAAACACUUUCUGGCUGCAAUUGGCUGUUUCCAUUUGAAGUUAAAAAACAACAACGUUUCUUUCGUUUUGUGGGCGAUUCGAUUGAGCACGCGCCACGAGCUAGCUGGCUUCCAGUGCUUGCGUGUGACAAUAGAAGGCUAGUGAUUUCACUUUCGCUUUUUUUUUUUUUUCUUUUUUUUGGGGAAUCAAGAUAAAAGCCAAGAAAAUGAAAAUUGGGCUGUUUCCAUUUGAAGUUAAAAACAGUGUUUCUUUCGGGGCGUCAAUUUGAUAUUUGAAUGGACAGGCAAGUAAGAAAUACAAUUCCUUCAUAGACAAUGACAACGAGGACAUCAAGGCACAUCAUUAUAGUUUGUAGCCCAUCUACAUUUAAACGAUUAAUAAACAAGCUUAGGUGUGCCACUGCUAUUAUUAAUUAUCCCCUGAUCAUUAUAGUUUCUGAAACAGUAAAACAAAACGAAAUUGAAUACAUCAACGAGAUCGCAAUUAUCACUUGUUUAGUUGCGGUAUUUAACUUAAUUUUAAUCUAAUAUAUUUGUUAGUUAAACUUUUAAUAAUCAAAUAAUUUUGACUUAAAAAUAAAAUUAUAGAAAUUAUUAAUUAUUAAAAAUUCACACAUAGCUAUUGUUUUCUCUAUAUAUUGCAGUGUGUACGAUAUUGAGGGUUGAAGCCCAAAGCAUGCCCUAAAAUCCAGAUAAUAAUUAGAUCCGGGCCAAAUAUUCAUCAUUGUGUCGGCUGAUCAGUCGGUGGACAUCUCUAUUGAAAAAAUCUCUGACAUUUCUCUCGACAAACUUAUUACUAAAAAAAAAUCAGUGGUUUUGCCGUCUGAAUAAUGUAGAAAAAUUUGUCUGUGCAUUAAUCUAGAUGUUUGAGGUGAUUUAUACAUCUGUGAUAAAGAUUUAUAGGUUGACUUAUACGUCUGUGGUAUAGAUUUUAUGUAUUUCAUUACAAAAUGCUGGCCGUUAGAACCCUUUCUACAUCUAUUUAUAAGAUUAACGGGUGCCAGUUAUGCCAUUACAAAUUAUCCCCUCAUCAGAUAUUUCGUUAAAAUUCAUUCUGAAACACUAAAACUAAAUAAUCGAACAUGGCUUUGCGGGUCGAUGAUGCCAGAAGCAAUUCGACUGCAAUUAUCACUUGUUUAGUUUCUGUGCUUGCCGUGGUUUACUUGGCAUGGAAUGUGAAAAAAUCAAGGAAAGCAAAUGCUAAACUGCCACCAGGACCUCCCGGCUUGCCUGUAGUCGGAUACCUCCCAUUUCUCGGAACUACUGACUUGCACAAGAAAUUCACGGAAUUAUCCGGAGUUUACGGUCCGAUCUUCAAGCUCUGGCUCGGAAAUAAAUUAUGUGUAGUGGUGAGCUCACCUUCCCUAAUUAGACAAGUGGUUCGUGAUCAAGAUACAACAUUCGCGAACCGUGACCCACCGAAGGCUGCACUAGUGGUCUCCUAUGGUGGCAAUGAUAUUGCAUGGUCCAAUUACGGUCCCGAAUGGAGAAAGUUGCGCAAAUUUUUUGUGGGCAAGAUGAUGAGUAACGCAAGCCUUGAUGCUUGUUAUGCUCUAAGAAAACAAGAGGUUAAAAAUACUAUCAGGGAUUUGUAUAACAACGACAACAAAAUUGGCAAGCCCAUUGACAUUGGUGAAUUGUCGUUUUCAACAUUGGUAUGUGCUAUACAGAACAUGCUGUGGGGUGAAGCGCUUGAAAUAAGAGAGAAAGGGACCACUAAUCUUGGGGCUGGGCUAAAAUUUAAGCUGGCAGAACUCAUGGUGCUUGCGGGAACACCGAAUAUUUCGGAUGUCUUUCCAAUGCUUUCAUGGCUUGACAUACAAGGUAUAGAGAGGAGAGCAAAGAAGAUUUCACUCUGGCUUGAAAAUGUUAUAAAUUCUACUGUUGAACAGCAUAGAAACAAGGAGUCAACUGUUGAAGGUGAAGAAAGAGCGGGGAAAAAUUUUGAAGGAUCAAGGAACAAGAACUUCUUGCAGUUACUAUUGGAGCUUCAAGAAAAUGAUGACAGUGCUUCCUCAAUUAGCAUGAACCAAUUCAAGGCCGUACUCAUGGUAUGUUAAGUAACUAGCAACGAACAGUUAUACAAGCACAGUUGUAUAUUUGCAUGAGUGAUAUUUUCAACCUUUUUUUUUAAUUAGAAUUUUAUUGUCACCUUUUGGACAGGAUAUAAUUACGGCUGGAACCGACACCACAGCUACGAUGGUGGAAUGGACAAUGGCAGAGUUGAUGCAGCAUCCACAAGUAAUGAAGAACGUUCAGGAAGAAUUAGCUCAAGUUGUGGGCAUGGACAGUUGUGUUGAAGAAUUUCACCUGUCUAGAUUAAAGUAUUUAGAUGCUGUGGUGAAGGAAACAUUUCGUCUGCAUCCUGCAGUGCCUUUAUUAGUACCACGCAGAGCAAGCGAGAGUGGCAGCAUUGGUGGCUAUACCAUUCCCAAAGAUACAACUCUUAUGUUGAAUGUUUGGGCUAUCCACAGGGACCCUCACCUUUGGGAUAAUCCCUUAGAAUUUCGACCCGAGAGGUUUCUGAAUGUUGGUGUCGAGAGUAAGUUCGAUUACUCAGGUAACAAUUUUCAGUACUUGCCAUUUGGUUCUGGUAGAAGAAUGUGUGCUGGGAUUCCUCUAGCUGAGAGGAUGCUGAUGUUUGUUUUGGCUUCGUUAUUGCACUCAUUUGAGUGGGAAUUGCCAGCUGGCACAAAGCUAAACUUAUCUGAAAAAUUUGGGAUUGUCAUUAAGAAAAAAGAGCCUUUGGUUGCUAUUCCAACACCAAGACUAUCCAAUUCAGAGCUCUACCAUUAAGACAAAAUGGUUGUGAUGAUUUUGUUAAUUUUCCGAAGAUUUGUAUGUUAUUUAGUUCAAUCGUAAUAAAAUAUUUCAAAUAAGAGUCCUCCGUUGCUUUUUUUUUUUUUUUUUUUUCAACGGCAUAAUCUGUCGUCAUGCUUGUAUUUGGAGCUACUUUGGAAUAAUUAUGUUUGAAUUACAAUUUAUAAAUAUUUACGUUUUAAAUUUUUUAUAAGAGUCUAAAUUUAUACACGUUUAAUAUCCCGCUUCAUAGAUAUUUAACACAAUUUAUAUCAUACAUUGUAUACCCAUUUGUCAUAAAUUAUACUAUUUUGUAUCUCUAAAUAAUAUUACGUAUUGAUAUUAUAAUAUAUAUAUAUAUGUUUAUCAAAAGACUAUACCAUUCAAUAUAUAUUGAAAAGAGAACAAAGAAGAUUUUCUUAUGGUUUAAAAAUAUUAUGAAUUCUGCUGUUGAACAGUAUGGAAACAAGGUCUCUGUUGUUAAAGGUGAAGAAGCAACAGGGAACAAUAUUGAAGGAAGAAAUUUCACAUGUUUAGUUGCUGAAUUUGCCGCUGUAUUCUAUCGGUAGUAGAGUUUUUAUUUUUCUCUAUUAAUUUAAGUCAAUUUUCUAUAACAAAUUCGGUUGAGUUUAAUUGUGUUAUAAUAUAAAUUGAAUGAUAAUAGAAUUUUCAACAAAUAUUUCAAUAUUUCUAUCUCGAUUGUUGAAGUGCCAUUUAUUUGUUAUGCGAUCGAUUUUAAAAUUUAUAAAAUUAUUUGUUACUAAAUUGCAUCAUAUGCUAAAAUCACCUGAAACCUAAUUCCAUAACUAACCCUUUAUUUUUAGUUCUCAAGAAAUCUUGUAAGAACAAAAAUCUUUUAUAACAAAACUUUUACAACACAUUAAUUUGUAACUCAUUCCUGUGCGCGAAUCACUCUCAAUUUCCUUCAAUUGCUGUUUAACAAUCAUCUACUUAUCAAAAUUCAAGCAUAAUCUUUUUUUUUUAAUUUCUUCAUCAUUCUUUAAAAAAAAAAUCAGGAUAUGCUGUUAAAUUUUGAAAUAAAUAAAUUAACCAAAGUUGGUUGAUGUGAGUGGUUCAAUGAUGAGCAUAAUUUAUAUACAUAUUUUACCUUUAAUUAUAUAAUUAUUAGUUAUUUUUAUUAGUUAUUUUUAAUUAAUUGAAUUAUUUUAUUGCAUAGAGAAUUAAUUGGAGAUUGGGAAACAAAAAGUGCAUAAAGAAUAACAAGUUUGGGAAAGCAUCAAUCAAAGCCGUGACGCAAUUAAGAGUUUAUAGCAUAUGAAGCCAAGAGUAAUUUGCACUCAAAAAGAAUUUCAAUUAUUCAAGUGACCUGGACCUGCAUGGCAUUGUAAUGCAUGGAAAGCAACUUAAAGGGGCCCACACUUGGCUUUUACAAUUGGAAAAAGGAAUCCUAGUGCAAGCUUAAUUGAUGAGCACGUGAGUGAGAGCAAAGAAAAUUAAAAGGCCAAGCCUUUUGGCUUAAGGAAAUAACAAGGUCGGUGGGGCCCAUUUUAAAGAGUAAUAUAAAAGCAAGCUUUUGGCUUUUGGAGAGAGGAGCCGCGAGAGGAGGAAAACGCAAGACAAAGAGAAGAAAAUCUGCAGCAGUUCGGCUUCUAUGGUUGGUUUUAUCUCUUUUGUUACUCUUAAUUCAAAUAUGUCUAGUUAAUUUUCUUAUAUUAAAGUUAAGGAUGAAACCCUAUUCAAUGAAAUAAUUAUCUUUUUAUUUAUUUAAUUCCCAUAUAUGUUCUUUAAUGAUUAUGAUUUUUAUUUCACAUGAUUAAUUGGAUGUUAUUAAAAUUUUUUCAUCAAUUCUGUCAUGCAUUAUUGAUUGUUAGGAUUAAUAUUCAAUUAAAUCUAUACUUAGAUUUAUAACGUUUAUACAUGAUUAUCUUUGAUUCUAUGUCUUUCAUUAAAUUGUUUACAUGGAGUGCUUAGGAAAACUUUGACUCUUUGUUAUUCAAUAUGUUCACAUGGGAUACUUAGAUGUCAUACUAUUAAGCGGAAAAAGAACCUAUAUUAGAUUUAAUUAUUUGGGCUUAAUUGUUAUAUCCAUGAGAUGACACAAAUUGAUUUCGAGUUGUCACUCUAAAAUUAGAGAUUAAUGAAUAUUUAGAUAAUUACUAGUUGAAUAGCGGUGGAUUCUGAAACCUUGGUAAUUUCUAUCUUAUUGAAUUCUCCUUUACUUUAAUUGUUUUCUUAGUUUAAUUAAUUUAAUUUCUUUUAAAACUCAAUUUGCUUAACUAGGUUAGAAUUAAUAUUAAUUUUAGAUUUAAAUUAGACUUUUCAAUUUAUAACAAUCCAUGUGGGAUCGACCUCGUUACCACUACUUUAUUUCUAGAUUCGUGCACUUGCGAGUAUAUUAAAAUUUUCACAACAAGUUUUUGGCGCCGUUGCCGGGGAUUGUGCCAGAAAGUCAGUUUAAUCUAGGUUGAUUUGAUUCUUCCACUAGUUAUAAUUUAUGUUGUCUUUUAUUUUAUUAUUAUUUUUAAUUAACAAAAACACACAAAAAAACUUUUAUUUUUCUUUAAAUUCAUUGUUUGGUUGUUUGAUUUCUUUUAUUUUUUAAAUUUUGUUUAUUCUCAUUAUUGUUGGUUUAUUUUAUUUUAUUUUUUUCUUUCCUUGUCUAGUUAGUUUAUGAGUGUUUGGGAAUGUGAUUCAACAAAUCGUUUGGUAAAAGAGAGUCAAAAAUUGAUAGUAGUCAAGUUAGUUCUUCUGAAGUCAUGGAUGACCCAAAUAGAUUAUUGCCAAUACUUCCACCAGUGCAAGCAGAGAAAACCCUUAGAGAAUAUUUUUCACCACUUGCAGCCAACCAACCAUCUUGUAUUGUGUUGCCACAAACUACAGCAACACACUUUGAACUUUUUGAACUUAAGCCCUCAGUCAUCCAACUUUUACCAUCUUUCCAUGGGUUAGAGAGAGAGGAUCCAUAUUUGCACAUUAAGGAAUUUCUUGACAUAUGCUCUACAUUCCGUUUUCAAAAUUUUAAUGAUGAGUUAAUCAGGCUUCGUAUGUUAUCUUUCUCAUUAAAAGACAAAGCAAAAGCUUGGUUGAAUUCGCUUUCUGCUGGGUCUAUAACUACGUGGGAUGAAUUGAAUAAUAAGUUCCUCACCAAGUUUUUCCCUAUGUCUAAAACAAAUGCCCUUAGGAGAGAGAUAAGUGAUUUCUAUUAAAGAGAGGGUGAGCAAUUUUAUGAGUGUUGGGAAAGAUUCAAUGAUUUACUCCUCAAGUGCCCCCACCAUGGUUUUGAGAAAUGGAGACUUAUACAAUGCUUUUAUAACGGUUUAACCAUGUCGAAUCGUCAUAUGGUAGAGUCUAUGAAUGGUGGGAGAUUUUUGAACCUACAUGAAGGGGCUGCAUGGGAUUUCUUUAAUUCACUUUCUGAGAAUUCUCAACAGUGAGAUUUUUCAAGCCAAAGGGAAAAAUCAUCUCAAGUUUCUAGAAAGGGGUUAUAUGAAGUUAAGGAUGAUUUUGAUGUGAAAUCCACUCUAAUUACACUUUCUAGAAAAGUAGAUGCCUUAGCUCUGAACCAAUCAAUGAAUCAUCAUCCUAGUGUAGCUAAUGAGGUUUGUGCUAUUUGUUCUAACUUGUCUCAAACAGCACAAAACUGUCCAUCAUUACCAGUCUAUCCAGAGGCUUAUUCUGAGCAGGUACAUGCCUUACAAUCAUAUGAGAAAACCUCCAAUAAUACAUAUUCACUCACAUAUAAUCCUAAUUGGAGGAAUCACCCUAAUUUUUCUUGGAAACAAAAUCAAUCUUUGUCAAACCAAGGAGGACAACAAUUUAACAUGCCCAAUCAACAAUUUGUCCCUCCUAACCAAGUAUAUCCUCCUGCCCAACAACCUAUAUCUCAAUUUGUUACACCCCAACAAAGAAAACCUUCUUUAGAGGAUACACUUCAAAGUUUCAUUCAGUCAACCUAAUAAGCUUUUCAGUCAAACACUCAAGCUAUUCUAAAGCUUGAACAUCAAUUGGGUCAAUUAGCAACUACUGUAGCGGAGAAAGAAAAAAGAAAAUUCCCCAGUCAAUCAAUUCCUAAUCCUAAAGGAGUGCAUGAAGUUGGAUCGAGUUCAAGCCAUCAGCAUGAAGAAGCAAAAUCAAUUAUGACCUUGAGAAGAGGAAAAUUGUUUGACAACAAAGUGGAGGUUCAAACAAAGAAGACAUCUGAGCCUACUUCUUCAGAUCCAAUUACAUCACAAGAAUCAUCACCAAAUGAUCUUGAAGAGAGUGACCCGCUAGCUUACAUUCCCAAGGCUCAUUUUCCUCAAAGGUUAACAAAGGUAAAGAAAGGGACUUCAACAUGUGAGAUUAUAGAAAUCUUCAAGCAGGUAAGUAUAAACAUCCAUUUACUCGAUGCUAUUAAGCAAGUUCCUUCCUAUGCCAAGUUUUUGAAAGAUUUAUGCACUAAAAAGAGAAAUUUGCAUGUCACUAAAAAGGCGUUUUUAACUGAACAAACUAGCAAUUUACUUCAAUGUAAAAUGCCACCAAAAUUUAAGGAUCCUGGUUCUCCUACUAUUUCAUGUGUUAUAGGGAACCAAUGUUUUGAUAAAGCAUUAUUGGAUUUAGGUGCUAGUGUUAAUCUCUUACCUUAUUCCAUUUACAUGCAGCUUGGACUAGGUGAGUUAAAAUCAACUCCUAUUAUUUUGCAACUUGCUGAUAGGUCAAUGAAAAUACCUCGUGGUAUUAUAGAGGAUGUGUUGAUACAGAUUGACAAAUUUUAUUAUCCUGUUGAUUUUAUUGUUAUUGAUACUCAACAUGUACAUGAUCUUAAGAAACACACUCCACUUAUUCUUGGUCGUCCUUUCUUAGCUACAGCUGAUGCUCAUAUUAGUUGCAGGACUUGAAACAUGCAAUUGUCUUUUGGUAACAUGACCAUGGAAUUAAAUAUUUUUAAUGUUCCCAAGCAGGCACAAGAAGAUGAUGAAGUCGUUGAAGUAGAUAUGAUAGAAGCAUCAAUUGAUGACUCACUUAUUUCUAACCAUUGUGACAAUCCAUUAAUACCUUGCACAACUGACUCUGAUUUCUCUAUUGAUGUUGAUAGUGAUAUUGAAGAAGUUAAUGCUUUACUUGAUUCGACUCUUAUCAUAGAUCUAAUUAAGUGGAAAGAAAAGAUAAGAUUGAGCCACUUCCUCCUGAAGAGAAAAGUGCAACAUAGGUCACAUUCUGACAUAAAAAAGGUGGUAAGAUCUAAAACGCUUAAAUUAUUAGAUUUUUAUACUACUUUAGAUAACUCUCAGGAAAGCUUAGAACAGAAGAGAUCAAAGCAAUGCGAUAUUGAGGAGUUUCAUUACCAUCAUCCUUUUAUGGAUAAAAUGCUCCAGUGCUUAAUCAAUUAUGCUUUUUGGUAUUUUCUAUAUAAUUGCUUUAAUUUUCACCAAAUUCUUAUUGAUCCUGGUUGAUUUGUUGUUUACAUUAAUUAGUUAGUUAGUCGGAUUUUUUUAUUAUUAUUUAUAUUUCUUCUAACGUUUUCUUUUGAGUUGUCAUUCUUUUAAGUUUUCCUAGCUCAGUCAGGUGUGUUCUCUCCAACUUUCUCUUUUAUUAUUUAUGUUUUUAUUUUUCAUCUUUUUGCGUGCAUAUCUUUUAUUUAUGACACAUUGAGGACAAUGUUCCGAAUAAGUUUGGGGGUGGGAAUAAUGUUGCUUUGUUUGUUAAAAAAAACUAAAAAAAAAUUUCAAAAAUUCAAAAAAAAAUUGUGUUUUUUUUGUUUUUACGUGAAAAGCCAAUGAUAAAAACUUGAUUGACAAUGAAUAUGGUUUUUAGAAAGGGUUUAAUAUUGUCUUAAUUUAUACUUGAUUCUUAUGUUAGUUCCUCUUGAUUGAGAUUCUUUAAAAUAUAAGCACUAAUAUCAAUUCUUUCAUAAUUUUGACUUGAAAUUUGAGAUUGACGCAGCCUGAGUUGAGAAUUUUAGAUAGAGUAAAUGACUGUUUGUCUUUAUUCUUAUCUCCACAAUACAAAAUAGUAUACACAGGCACCAAAGUCAGAAAUAACUACCUAUAAUCCUUAAGAGUGAAGCUAUCCUUGAGUAAUUUAGGCCUAUGUACCACAAGUAUGUAGAGGAUAAUCUACCAUGAGAAGAAUGCUACCUUAAGGGGUAGAGUGAAAGCUCCUGACUAUGGUUAAAAAAAAAAGAAGAAGAAAAAGAGAAAGAAAAAAUCAAAUCAAGUGCAUGUGCUGAAAAAAAAAUCAAAAGAAAAUGCACAUAAAAGCCUGUGAAAAAAAAAUUGGAGAUUAAGAUGAUAAGAUUAGCUUGACCUACUCUUUUCUUUUUUUGAGGCGAAGGUUGUUGAUAUUGAAGAUUUUAGGAAUGAAUUUGAUUGAAUUGAUUUCACACACACACAACAAGAAUCGAAAGAGAGAUGGGAUUGAUUAUUGAAUUAAAGUUAGAACUUUGCCAAUAUUUGAAAUUUUGUUUGAGCUAUAUAAUUUAUGCAAUCUUUGAGGGUAUUUUCAUAUUUUAUUUAAAGUUUUUUUUUCUUUUUAUUUUAUUUUAUUUAUUUUUUAUUUUUUUAAAAUGAUGUUUGUGGGUGUCAUCACUGAAGCUCUCACGAGACUAUAACUCGUCCACUAGGGGUUUAAAGGCUUGUUGCAUACGCUAAAUGCAAUCGCGAUUACCUGCGAAAAUGGUUUAGUUAGGAUUUACUUUUUGUUUUGUUAUUUUUUUUUUUUUUUUUAGUUUUAGCUUUGCUCGAGGACUAGCAAAAUCUAAGUUUGGGGGUAUUUGAUGAGCAUAAUUUAUAUACAUAUUUUACCUUUAAUUAUAUAAUUAUUAGUUAUCUUUAUUAGUUAUUUUUAAUUAAUUGAAUUAUUUUAUUGCAUAGGGAAUUAAUUGGAGAUUGGGAAACAAAAAGUGCAUAAAGAAUAACAAGUUUGGGAAAGCAUCAAUCAAAGCCAUGACACAAUUAAGAGUUUAUAGCAUAUGAAGGCAAGAGUAAUUUGCACUAAAAAAGAAUUUCAAUUAUUCAAGUGAUCUGGACGUGCAUAGUAUUGUAAUGCAUGGAAAGCAACUUAAAGGGGCCCACACUUGGCUUUUACAAUUGGAAAAAGGAAUCCUAGUGCAAGCUUAAUUGGUGAGCACGUGAGUGAGAGCAAAGAAAAUUAAAAGGCCAAGCCUUUUGGCUUAAGGAAAUAACAAGGUCGGUGGGGCCCAUUUUAAAGAGUAAUAUAAAAGCAAGCUUUUGGCUUUUGGAGAGAGAAGCCGCCAGAGGAGGAAAACGCGAGACAAAGAGAAGAAAAUAUGCCGCAGUUCGACUUCUAUGGUUGGUUUUAUCUCUUUUGUUACUCUUAAUUCAAGUAUGUCUAGCUAAUUUUCUUAUAUUGAAGUUAAGGAUGAAAUCAUAUUCAAUGAAAUAAUUAUCUUUUUAUUUAUUUAAUUCCCAUAUAUGUUCUUUAAUGAUUAUGAUUUUUAUUUCACAUGAUUAAUUGGAUGUUAUUAAAAUCUUUUCAUCAAUUCUGUCAUAUAUUAUUGAUUGUUAUGAUUAAUAUUAAAUUAAAUCUAUACUUGGAUUUAUAAAGUUUAUACAUGAUUAUCUUUGAUUCUAUGUCUUUCAUUAAAUUGUUUACAUGGAGUGCCUAGGAAAACUUUGACUCUUUGUUAUUCAAUAUGUUCACAUGGGAUACUUAGAUGUCGUACUAUUAAGCGGAAAAAGAACCUAUAUUAGAUUUAAUUAUUUGGGCUUAAUUGUUAUAUCCAUGAGAUGACAUAGAUUGAUUUCGAGUUGUCACUCUAAAAUUGGGGAUUAAUGAAUAUUUAGAUAAUUACUAGUUGAAUAGUGGUGGAUUCUGAAACCUUGGUAAUUUCUAUCUUAUUGAAUUCUCCUUUACUUUAAUUGUUUUCUUAGUUUAAUUAGUUUAAUUUCUCUUAAAACUCAAUUCGCUCAACUAGGUUAGAAUUAAUAUUAAUUUUAGAUUUAAAUUAGACUUUUCAAUUUAUAACAAUCCCUGUGGGAUCGACCUCGUUACCACUACUCUAUUUCUAGAUUCGUGCGCUUGCGAGUAUAUUAAAAUUUUCACAACAUUCGGCACUCUCACUCCUUAAGAGAGGUCAGGGGUUCAAGCCUCGCUCUCGUAUGGAGUCACCACUUUGACCAGCACUUUACCCCUUACAGACCGACCCGGUGCGAGCAUGAAUUAGUCUGGGUUGUGGUACGGGCUUAAAGGUGCCUCCCACAAUUGAGACCCACUCAGGACCACCUCGUGGUUCGGACAAAAAAAAAAUUGAAAUAAAUUAUCUCAAAAUAAUUACUAACCAGAAAAAACAAAGGGGUUUAACUAGGUUAUGCAUACCUUUGAAAAUUAUAUGUUGAUCGAUAAGCAUGAUGAUCACGAUUGAGGAGUUUAAUUAAAAUUUAUAAGAUUUUAAAAUUAAUCAGGGUUAAAUUCUAAAUUUUAGAAAGAGAGGUUUUGUGAGAAUGCUGAAAGGGUGUUAAUAGUUCCACUCUUUUUUAAAAAAACCAUAGUCAUCAUUUUUCCCGAUUUCUUCUUCCCAUCUCCAUCUUAUUUAGAAAUUUCCCAGAGCCUUUGUUUCCCACCAUUCAUUUUUCUUCUUUCUAAUUUAAGAUUAUAGUAUUAUAAAAAUAAUUACUCACAUUUUAUCAAACACCUCCAUUAUACCAAGGCCUUGUUUUAGUAGUAGGCUUUUAUUAUCUCAAUAAAAUUGAAAAAACAAAGCUCAAUAAUAUUGGAAAAAAAACCUACCCAUAUUUGUAACUUUAAUUUAUUAUUCUCCAUAGACCUACUUUUUAGCUUUGAAUUUUGUUGGAGCCAUAUAUAAACAGAAUAUGUUGAAAUCAGCACAAAAAAAAAACUAAUUAUAUAAUUUUUGUUCCCAAGGACACGACUGUGUGAUUUUUAAGAAGUUUUGUUUGGCUGGCCACUUAGGUUUAAAUCUUGGUGGAGAUUAGGGGUUAAGAAAUAAAUUUGGACUUUGCACACCCCUUUAACUUUUAAAAAGAAUGAAAAAAACUAAUUAAUUAAUCUUUAUUUUAUUUAUUAAAUGUCAUAAUCAUAUGCAUAUUUUAUUUGUUAUCUUUCUAUUUAAAAGAUAGGAGGGCAAAUAAAACUGAAAUAAAUGUUUAUCCCUAUCUCCAUCUUUCAAGUUCCAUAGUUAGGUGACCAGCUAAAGAAAAUUAAUUGAAAGUUACUCCAUCAAAUUAAAAAAAAUUAUUUAUUUAAUUUGUGGAGAUGUAGAAAAUCAAACCCCAUACCUUUUCGCAUGCAAAAGUGUCAACCUGGUCUAGCUAUGUUGCAACAGUAAACAUAUUUUAAUACAUGACUAUCAUCUUUUAUCCUAAAUACUACUAUAACUAUGGGUUCAGUUAUGCUGUAACUGUGGUAUGGUACCACAGUUGUUUUCAACCAUUAAAUUCAACUUAUAUAACUAUGCAACUGUAGAUCUAACGGCUGAAAGCAACUAUGGUACCAUACCACAGUUGCAACAUAGUUUUGCCCCUAUAACUCAUAACAUUCAAUUGAAAUAAUAAAUGUUAACACUUGGCUAUAAAUAAAGGUUUUGUACUUGAAUCUUCAUGCAUGACCUUCAUUCCUUUAUUGACUUUGCUAACACAGAUUUUGAGGCAUUAAAACUAAAUAAUAAUUGACUUUGUGGGCCGAGGAUGCCAGCAACAAGGAGACCACAAUUAUCACUAGUUAAGUUACUCUAAUUGCCGUUGUCUUAUAUUCAUAAAAUAUUAGUAAUAAGAUUAUUGUAGAAUUUUUUUAUAUUAAAAUUAAGUCAAUUUGUUAUAACAAAUUUAGUUGAGUUUAAUCGUGUUACUACAUACAUUGAAUAAUAAUAGAAUUCUCGACAAAUAUUUCAAUAUUUUUAUCCCAAGCGUUGGAGUGGCAUUUAUUUGUUAGACAAUCGAUUUUAGAACUUAUAAAAUUAUUCGUUACUGAAUUGCACCAUAUGCUGCAUGACCUGAAACUUAAUAAACGGAACGUAGCGUUGGCAACAUUCACUGUCAUGACUUUGUGACAUUAGAAUUAAAUUUUUUUGCACAUUUAAUUUGUUUACUUCCAAAUUAAUAUUUAACAAAAUAUUUUUUCACAUUAUCAAUGGACAAAACUCCAACGAAAAUAACUAUACAAUAUAUGCUAGUAUUGUAUGCCAUAUCAUCUGUAAUUUUGUCAGGAUCGAUCAUUUUAAUUUUUAAGCAAAACUUUUUAUCAAUGGACAAACACCUCACACAGCUUGUCAGAGGCAUUAUUAUGAUGGAAAACUGAUAAACAGUGAACUCGAAACUCAAUUACUACAAGUCGUUUAGAGGAUUCAGUCUUGGAUGACUUGUCACUUGUGGAAUUCUUGAAGCCAGAACCGACAUAAUCUCAGUCGUCAUUCUGUCUUAAGUAAUACACAUGGUUUGCAUGUGUGUUGAAGCUGACUCUUUGCUUGGAUCAAGAAACGACGUCUUUGAGUGCCGUUUCUUAAACACACUUUAAAUCAGCUUGUGUCAAGCACGUGAGGUAGAGCUUUUUGAAUAGAUUUGGCGGGAAUGGUAGUUAGUGUAACAACCCAGAAAUAGAGGUUAAAAGGUGAAGGCUUUGUCAUCAUCUACACAUGAUUUGGGAAACAUUGAGAGUAGAGAAAAAGAUAGAGAGAGAAAGGGGUUAACAAGUUCUUGUUCUCUGUAAAUCGAUUUAUAUUCUUGUAAAGUUUGUGAUCUCAAUUAGUGAAAGACUGUUGCUUUGUUUCCAGUGGAUGUAGGCACCACUUCUUGGUGCUGAACCACUUAUACUUGGUGUCAUAUUGUUUCUUUAAUGCUUUGAUUCUUGCGUGUGAUUGUUGCUGGAUAAUCUGUGCUGUUAAUUCUCAAACCAUUGAUACAGAAUUAAUGUCUUGGGGAGAAUUUGGUUAGUCUUAUCAAAGCCGAAUUCACAACAAAUUGGUAUCAGAGCCCUCUUUUCUGUAUCAAGGUUCAAGAAAUGACUAACAAGGUGGAUCUUGAGAAGUUCAAUGGUCAGAAUGAUUUCAAUAUGUGGAGGAUCAAGAUGGAAGCAUUGUUAAUCACACAAGGUCUGGGAGAUGCCAUUGAUCCAGUCAUUAAGAGUGAAAAUGCAGAAGCCUAUUCUUCAAGAACUCCAGAACAGAUGGCUAAGAUUGAAAAAAAGGCAAGAAGCACCAUCAUCCUCAGUCUUGGUGACUUAGUGAUAAGGGAAGUUGCCAAGAAAAAGACUGUUGCUAGGCUCUGGGCAAAACUGGAACAAUUGUAUAUGACAAAGUCCUUAGCAAACAGGCUAUACAUCAAGAAAAAGAUGUUCUCACUGAGGAUGAUUGAAGGAGCAUCACUUGAUGAACACAUAGAUGAGUUUAAUAAAGUUUGUGAUGAACUGGAAACAAUUGAUGAAGGACUGAGUGAUGAGAGCAAGGCUUUGCUGUUAAUCAGUUCUUCACCAAAAUCAUAUGAACAUUUUGUGGAUGCCUUGUUAUAUGGAAGGCAAUCACUCUCCUUGGAAGAGGUUAAAUCUACUCUUGGUACCAAGAAGUUAAAAGAAAAACAAGAUAACUCAGAGAGUGAAUCAAGUGAAGGGCUGAUGGCAAGGGGCAGAUCUGAAAAAAAGGAGUACAAAGGAAAAAAACAAGGGAGAUCAAAGUCAAAGCAGAAACAUUUGAAGUGUUUUCACUGCCACAAAGAAGGGCAUUUCAAGAGGGAUUGCCCUGAGAGAAAAACAAAGCAAAAGGAAUCAAAAGACAAAUCUGGAAAUACAGCAAUAGCCACAGAAGAAACCAGUUUUGAGAUAGCUGAAGUCCUCAUUGCCACAAAAGAAAAAAACUCAAGGUCAGUGGGUACUAGACUCUGGAUGUACUUUUCAUAUGAGUCCAAAUAGAAAUUACUUUACUACAUAUCAGUCCUGUGAUGGGGGUAUGGUGCUGAUGGGAAAUAAUUCAGUUUGUAAAGCAGUUGGGAUUGGGACUGUAAGCCUUAAGAUGUAUGAUGGCAUGGUUAGAGAACUAACUCAGUUUAGGCAUGUUCCUGAGCUUAAAAGGAACCUAAUAUCUAUUGGCAUGCUUGAUCAAACUGGAUGUGUCAAUAAGGCUGAAAAUGGGUCAUUGAAAGUUAUCAGAGGCUCAAUAGUCAUAAUGAAAAGUUCCAAGCAAAAUGGUUUGUAUGUGUUGAAUGGACAUACAACUGUUGGAGAGGCAAGUGUCACUGAGAAGAGUGAAGACAAAGCAAGACUAUGGCACUUGAGGUUGGGGCAUAUGAGUGAAAGGGGAUUGAAGGAGCUUCAAAAGAAUGGGGUGUUUGGAAGUGACAAGCUAAGUUCUUUGGGGUUCUGUGAAGACUGUAUCCUAGGGAAGGCUUCCAAUCUCAAGUUUGAAUCUGCAGUUCAUUCUACCAAAGAGAAGCUUGCAUAUAUACACUCUGAUAUGUGGGGGCCUGCACAGGUAAAUUCUCUUGGUGGCUUUAAGUAUUUCUUAUCCUUAAUAGAUGACUAUUCAAGGAUGGUUUGGGUGUAUGUACUCAAAACCAAAGAUGAAGCUUUGGAAAAGUUUUAGAGGUGGAAAAUUCUGGUAGAAACACAGACAAGUUUGAAAGUAAAAGCUCUAAGAACAGAUAAUGAAUUGGAAUUCUGCAACAAAGAGUUUGGAGACUUUUGUAAAAGACAUGAGAUUAUGAGGCACAAAACAGUCAUACACACACCUCAGCAAAAUGGUUUUGCUGAGAGAAUGAACAGAACCUUAAUGGACAAGGUGAGGUGUAUACUGCUAUACUCAAAGCUGCCUAAGUCACUCUGGGCAGAGGCCUUAAACACAGCAUGUUACUUGGUAAAUAUAAGUCCAUCUACAGCAAUAGAAUGCAAAACACCUAUCGAGCUAUGGUCUGGAAGGGUUGCAGAUUACUUUAAACUGAGAAUCUUUGGAUGUGUUGCUUAUGCAUAUGUCAAACAAGGCAAAUUGGAGCCAAGAGCUUUAAGGUGUAGAUUUCUAGGAUACCCUGAUGGAGUUAAAGGCUAUAGGCUAUGGUGCAUUGAUUUGAAGCCACCAAAAUGCAUUAUCAGCAGGGAUGUAACUUUCAAUGAGUCAGAAAUCUUGAACAAAUCCAAAACCACUUAAUCCAAAGAUCAUAUAUCAGAAACAAGACCUGGGAGUGUUCAGUUUGAGGUGGAGUCCUAUGAACAAGAUAGGACUGAAUCAGAAACUGAAGGAGAUUCAGGAAGGGUUACUGAUGGAUUUGAUGUUGUUCAGGAGUCAGAGCCAGCUGAGAAUGAAGAUAAUUCUUAUCAGUUGGUCAGGGAUAGAAAGAAGAGAGCUGUAAGACCACCUAAGAGGUAUACAAUAGCAGAUUUCAUAGCUUAUACAUUAACAGUUGCACAAGAGGUAAAUGAGGAAGAGCUAAGAACCUAUAAAGAAGCUAUAAACAGCAUGGAUAAGAUGAAAUGGAAGGAGGCUAUGGAUGAGGAAAUUGAAUCACUAAUGAAAAAUGGAACUUGGAAGCUGAUAGUUAGACUAGAAAAAAGGAAGACUGUUAGCUGCAAAUGGAUCUUCAAAGUUAAGGAAGGUAUAUCUGAUGCUGAACCUAGUAGGUUUAAAGCUAGGCUGGUAGCAAGAGGCUUCACACAAAGAGAGGGGAUUGAUUUCCAUGAAAUCUUCUCUCUAGUUGUGAAACAUGCCUCCAUCAGAGUCAUCUUAGCUUUAGUUGCCAUUCAAGACAUGUACCUGGAGCAUAUGGAUGUUAAAACAGCCUUCCUGCAUGGUGAAUUACAAGAAGAAAUUGUAAUGGAACAGCCUGGGGGGUAUGUGGUGUCUAGUAAGGAAAAUCAUGUGUGCUUACUAAAGAAAUAUUUAUAUGGAUUAAAGCAGUCUCCUAGGCAAUGGUACUUGAAGUUUGAUAGUUUUAUGACAAAACAUGCCUACAAGAAAUGCAAUUAUGAUUGUUGCGUGUACUUUAGGGACAUUGGUGAUGGAAAGAUGAUUUAUCUUAUGCUGUAUAUGGAUGACAUGCUUAUAGCAUGUCACAGCAUAGAUGAAAUCAGUCAUUUAAAGAAUCUCUUGAGCAGUGAAUUCGAUAUGAAAGAUCUUGGAGCUGUAAGGAAGAUCUUAGGUAUGGAAAUUAUCAGAGACAGGAGAAGGAAGCUUAUGUUUUUAACCCAACAGAGCUAUGUUAAGAAGGUGUUGCUUAGAUUUGGGAUGCAUGAAUCCAAGUCUGUUCAAACACCUUUGGCAAAUCACUUCAAGCUGUCUGCUGCACAUUGUCCACAAACUGAUGCAGAGCAAGGAAAAAUGGCAAGGAUACCUUACUCCAGUGCAGUUGGGAGCCUCAUGUAUGCCAUGGUUCUCACUAGACAUGAUAUCUCACAUGCUGUGAGUAUAGUGAGUAGAUUCAUGGCAAAUCCAGGUUAUGAGCAUUGGAGGGCAGUCCAGUGGAUAAUGAGGUACCUGAAAGGCACUAUGGAGUUUGGUCUGCUAUAUGGAGGGUUAAAACAGGAAGGGCACAAGCUGGUGGGGUAUGUUGACUCAGACUUCGCUGGAGAUCUUGAUAAAAGGAGGUCUCAGACAUGUUUUAUAUUCACUUUGGGAGGCUGCACUGUGAACUGGAAAGCUACUCUGCAAAGUGUGGUAGCUUUGUCCACAACUGAAGCCGAAUAUACAGCAGCUGCAGAAGCUUUUAAGGAAGUCAUCUGGUUAAAAGGAAUGGUCUCAGAGUUAGGAGCAAAACAAGAAACAGUUGAAGUAUACUGUGAUAGCCAGAGUGCAAUACAUUUGAGUAAAAACCAGACCCAUCAUGAAGGAACAAAACAUAUUGAUGUAAAGCUUCAUUUUGUAAGACUUGAAGUUUCAAAGGGAACUGUGAAGAUGCUCGAGGUUCACACUGAUCAAAAUCCAACCGAUAUGUUGACUAAAGCUGUGCCUUCUGCCAAGCUCAACUUCUGUUUGAGCUUAGCAGGAAUUUGCAGUUUCUGAUCAGCUGCAAAAGAAAGGGAAUAAAGUAUACAGGAGUAGCUAGAGUUCAGAGUUCACACUGAUUAAAAGGUGCAGGCUUUGUCAUCGUCUACACAUGAUUUGGGAAACACAGAGAGUAGAGAAAAAGAUAGAGAGAGAAAGGGGUUAACAAGUUCUUGUUCUCUGUAAAUCGAUUUCUAUUCUUGUAAAGUUUGUGAUCUCAAUUAGUGAAAGAUUGUUGCUUUGUUUCCAGUGGAUGUAGGCACCACUUCUUGGUGCUGAACCACUUAUGCUUGGUGUCAUAUUGUUUCUUUAAUGCUUUGAUUCUUGCGUGUGAUUGUUGCUGGAUAAUCUGUGCUGUUAAUUCUCAAACCAUUGAUACAGAAUUAAUGUCUUGGGGAGAAUUUGGUUAGUCUUAUCAAAGCCGAAUUCACAACAAAAACUGUAAUGGUAUAUCUUGAAUUAUUGGUAGAAUAGUUCUUUGGAGCAAUAAAAACAGAUAAGACAGAUGAGAAAAUUGUCAAUACCCCACCGCAAAAGCAAAAGAAAACAAGGAAAGGAGACAAAAGAGGAAGAAGAAAAAGAAAAAAGAACGAAGAAAAAAAUGGUGCCGUGCGGUAUAGGCAAGAAGAAAAAAUAAUAAAAAAUAAUAAAAUAAUAGUGCACAACAAUCAUUUGAUUGCUAUAAAUAAAAGGCGUUUCCCUCAUUUUAUUCAUCGAAUUCUUCAGUUCCUUUCAAGCGAUUUAAGAGUCUAGUGAUUUGAGAGUUUGGGUGUAGUAUGAUUUUGGGUAGUGAGCUAAAAUACUACAAUACUUGUAACUCAUUUUUAUUAGUAAAAUAUUUUCCUUCUGACUUCGCCCGUGGACGUAUGCUAAAAGCCGAAUCACGUAAUUUCUGGUGUCCCUAUGUGAUUAUGUGUCUCAUUAUUUCUUAAUUUCACUUUAGUUGCGUGUCUGCGACACCCCUCAAUUUAUUAACAAAAAAUGGCCAAAAUUAUAUAAGUGACCCAAAUUUUUUUGUUAUUUCCAAGAAAUCCCCAAUCUGAAUGGGCUAGACCAGAGGGAGGCAAGUUAGAAAUACAUUUCCUUCAUAGACAAUAACAGUGAUGAGUCGAUGACAUCAAGCCACGUCGGUAUCAAUAUUGAAUUAAAGGUGCAAUUAUUCAGCCAAUGAACCUUACACAUCAAGAUAAAAGUCAAGAAAAUGAAAAUUUAUCCCAAUUAAAACACUUUCUGGCUGCAUUUAGUUGUUUCCAUUAGAAGUUAAAAACAACGUUUCUUUCGUUUUGUGGGCAACUCAACUGAGUUAGCUGGCUUCUAGUGCUAGUAUGUGAAAAUAGAAGGCUAAUGAUUUAUUUAUUAUCUUUUGACAAAAUUAUUAAAGAUAUAAUAGAUUUUCUAUGAUACAAGUGAAAAAUCACAUCAACAUAGCUUUCAAUCUACAGCAGCUAGCGUUUACCAAACACUUUGUUGUAGCUUUUAAGCUAUAGCUGCCCAACCUCAAUCUCAAACGCACCCUUAAUAGGUUGAUUGAAUUUGUGAGAUAUGGAUUCCACAUAUCUCAUGACCUAGUAAUUAUACAAGUGGUUCGUGAUCAAGACACAACAUUUGCUUCCGGCCUAGUGACCCAGCAAUCGCUGCACUGGUCGCCACCUAUGGUGCCGACGAUAUUGCAUGGUCCAAUUGUGGCCUUGAAUGGAAAAAGUUGAGCAAAUUAUUUGUGGACACGAUGAUAAGUAACGCAAGCCUUGAUGCUAGUUAUGGUCAAAGAAAACAAGAGGUUAAGAAUACUAUCAGAGAUAUUCAUAACAACAAAAAGGAAAAAAAAAAGGCAUUUGCAAGCCCAUUGAUAUUGGUGAAUUGUCGAUUUCAACUUUGGCAUGUGUAAUCCAGAACCUGCGCGCUGUGGUAUGGCGCUGGCACGCUUGCAUUAACGAGGGGACAAGUCUUGGGGCUGAGCUAACAUUUAAGCUCGCAGAACUCAUGGUGCUAAUGGGAACACCAAAUAUUUUUUUGACAUAUUUUGGUGCUUUCAUGGUUUAAUUCAAGGUAUAGAAAGGAGUGUUGAGAAUGUCAAAUAAAACGGCAUUGAAUGGAAGUUGUCAAAGACACGAUCCGCACCGAACGGCAACGACACGGUUGCUAAAAAUCCUUCCAUAAUAUGCAUAUCUAAUUUUUUAAAAAGUGUAACCUCUGCAUUUAUAAAUAUACUCAAUGUAUAAUGUUUUACUUAAGAAAUGAAAAACUUGUUUGUUCAAGGAGAAUAAAGAAAAUUUUUCUAUGAUUUUUUUAUGGUUUGAACAAAGAAGGUUUUAAUGAGUAUUAUAGACCUCGAUUGAAUGUUCGAAUGUAUAAUAAAAGAGAAACUGUCACAUAAAUGACAAAGAUACUUGGAAAAAAAAAAAGGGCAGCAAUAGAGAAUUAGAUUCGACUGCACAAAUAACUAGUUAAUUCAUCAAUACAUCAUUUUCUUGCUAGAAAAUGACAAUUAUGACAGCAAGCCACGAUAGUGUCAAUAUUGAAAUUGAUUUGCAAUUAUUCAGCCAAUGUGCCUUACACGUCAAGAUAAAAGUCAAGAAAAUGAAAGUUAAUAUCAAUUAAAACACUUCCUGGGCCGCAUUUAGCUCCAGUUUUUGUGGUAGGAAAACAAAGUUUUGUUUUAAAUUCACAUGGUGUGCACUUCCUAUAUAAAUCUAGAGUUGUGUCCCACGUUGAACAAUAAAGGAAAGUCACCUAAAUAUACAUGUAGGAUAAGUUACUUUAUUUAGUAAGUUUGUAUUUUCUUCUUUCUUCUAGUUUACAUAUAAAUUUGAUUAGAUAACUUAACACAUAUUUUAAUACUUGAUCAGAAGCCCUACGUACAGGUGGAUCUAGAAACUUGAUUUCUAAGAGUAAUACUAUAAUAAAAAAAUAAUGAUUCAUAGAACCAAUAUCAAAAUUUGUUUACAAGAUUACCCCCACUCAAAGGUAAUUUUCAUAGAAAUUAAUAGGAAAUUUAAUUGUUAGUGGGGUCAAAUUGCCCCCACACUCUGAAUGUAGAUCCACGCCCGACCCUGAGUCAAGUAUAUUUUGCCACAUAUACUCUGAAUGUCGGCAGGAAAAAUCUUCCACUUUAGUUUAAAAUUUUCACUUAAAAUUUAUUUACGUUAAUAAAGUUGGUAAAGGAAAUGAGUUUAAUUAAAGAAUAUUAUAGGAGAAAUUCUAUUGUUUGGCUUUUAAUAAAUUAAUUAAUAGGUUUAAAAAGAUUAAUAUACAUCAAAAUAUUAUUAGUUGGUGGUGGUUCCACAUCGGACUAAGACGUGGCACCUUACUUGUGAGAUUAAGACAAUCAGGCUUAGACUAUUUAAAUAUGUUUGAAGCUUAGAUGGCACCGCUUCAAUUUGCAUUAAUGAAUGUCAUUCUUUACCCUAAUUACUACGUAAUUGAUAACAUGCAAUUGAAAUAACUAAUAUUAGCACUUGGCUAUAAAUGAACUAAAGGCCGUGCAAUUGAAUCUUUACUUGAUCACUUCAUUCCUUUAUUUUGCUAACACAGAUUUUGAGAUAUUAAAACGAAAUAAUAAUUGAAUCUGGCUUUGUGGGUCGAUGAUGCCAGCAACAACGAGACCACAAUUAUCACUUGUUUAUUUGCUGUAUUUGACGUUGUUUCAUAUUGGUAGUAAUAACUAAUAAGGUCGUUGUAGAGUUUUUAAUCUUUUUUUUUAUAUUAAUCACGAGGUAUCCUGGGGAGGGCCCCAACUGUGGGAGGCACCUUUAAGCUCGUACCACAACCCAGACUAGAAGUCCCCGCUCGAACCGGGAGGCACAGUUUUUAAUCUUUUUUAUAUUAAAGUUAAGUCAAUUUGUUAUAAAUAAAUAAAAAAUUGGUUGAGUUUAAUUAUAUUGCUAUGUACAUUAAAUAAUUAUAAUAUUCUCGAGGGAAAAAGACACCUAGAACCUCAAGGUUUGGGGAAAUGGUCACAAAAACUCCUAAGUUUUAAAAAAGGAACACUAAAAUCUUUUUUUACCCAUAAUACCCUUUGACUAUAGUAAUUAGAAAAUUGACUUUAAAGGUUUUUAAAUAAUACAAAUUUAAUAUAAAUCAUAUAAUCUAUCUAGUACACUAAUAAUAUUAAAUUAUUUUUUAUAUUUAAAAUAAUGUUAAAAAAUUUAAAUUAUUAUAUUUAUUUUAAUAAUAUAUUUAUAAAAUUAUAAAGAUUUUAAAUAAAUCUUUGGAUUGAAUAUAUUUUACAAUUAAAAGUCUUCCUAUUAAUAAUAUUAAAAUUAAAUUUUAAGUAAUAUAUAUUCAAAAUAUUUUUAAUUUAAUUUUAUUUAUUUUAAUAUUAUGUUUCUAUCUAUUAUUAAAAAUUACUUUAAUAUAAUAAAAUAGGUCUAAUAGAUUGAAAAAUAUGAAAAUAUUUUUAAAAUUUUAAAUUAUUUUGAAAUGUAUAUAUUAUUACAUUUAUUUCAAUGUCAUAUUUCCAUUUAUUAUAAAAUUUUGGGGUUAUUUUUUUGGGAAUUUAUAGAGUCAAAGAGCAUUAUGGUUAAAAAAGAGUCUUGGUGUCCCUUAUUGAAAACUUUAGAGUUUUUGUGACCAUUUUCCUAAAUCUUGGGGGUGUUGAAGUGGCACUUAUUGUAAGAUUGAUUUUAAAAUAUGUAAAAUUAAUUUUAUUACAUUACCAUAUGCUACAUCACCUGAAACUUAAUAAAUGGAACGUAGCAUUACUCCACGUUCACCGUUAUGACCUUAUGACAUUAGAAUUAAAAUCUUUCGUACGUUUAAAUUGUUUACUUCCAAAUUAAUCUUUCGUAAAUAUUUUGUACAGAUCUUAUCGGAGUUAGCGUGUUCAUUACAGUGUUUCUUUUCUUUUAUCCUUUCUUUUGAAACGUAUUUCCUGUGGACAAGGAAAGCAAAUAAUACCCUGCCACCAGGACCUCGCGGCUUGCCUGUAAUCGGAUACCUUCCAUUUCUCGGAAUUACUGACUUACACAAGACAUUCACGGAAUUAGCUGGUCUAUAUGGCCCGAUCUUCAAACUCUGGCUUGGCAACAAAUUGUGUGUAGUGGUUAGCUCGCCUUCAACUAGUUCUAUAAGAAUAUCCCUUUUAAGGGAUUCUCUCUCUGCAAAAUUUUUUUAUCUUCUGGUGCAUAAUAAAAACUUAUGCCACUUCAUUAACCACAGAUAUCUUUUGAGGAAACGAUGUUUCGUUUUCUUUUGUUUUUUCCUUCCUAAUCCUCGCAUAUCGUGUGAAGGCUAAUAUAUCCAAGAAUCUAAAUCUCUGUAAAUCUUUUUCUAUCCAAAUCUACAUAAUAAUUUAAUCCAUGCACAAUAUCUAUAAUUAUAUCGGCUGUCGGCUGAUUUCGUGGAGGGGGCGGCAGUUCAAAUUUUUUACGUGCAUGUUGGAUGGACGUCUCUAUUAAAGGAGAGCCACCACUUGCAUGGUAAUUUUUUUAAAUAAAUAUAUACAUUUCAAAAUAUUAUUUCAUUGUUGUAUAGUUAACAUGUCACCUUAGAUGUAUUUUAGAACUUCUCCUAUUAAAGAUAAUCUCAUGCAGUGAUACUUCUCGUGAUCUAAUCAUUAGUAGAAUCUAUAAUUUCGCUACUGUAAUAAAAUCUGUCCCUACCCUAUAUGAAUGUAGAUAUUUGACGCGAUUUGUAAUUGCUUCCGACAGGAAAACAGCAAUAGUUUAAUUGAAAUUUGUGGUAUGGAUUCCACGAAUCUUAUGACAGAAUACUGACCACUCCAACCCUAUCCACAUUUACACGAUUAAAACACAAGCUUAGAUGUGACAAUGCAUUUGUCACUUUUGUUCAAAUUCAUCCUGAAACACUAUACACUAAAUAAUCGAAUAUGGCUUCGUGGGUCGAUGAUGCUAGCAGCAACGAGACUGCAAUUAUCACUUGUUUUGUUGCUGUACUUGUCGUGGUCUAUUUCGCAUGGAAUGUAAACAAAUCAAGUAAAGCAAAUGCUAAAUUGCCACCAGGAUCUCGGGGCUUGCCAGUAGUCGGAUACCUCCCAUUUCUUGGAACUACUGACUUACACAAGACAUUCACGGAGUUAGCUGGAGUUUAUGGUCCGAUCUUCAAGAUUUGGCUUGGGAAUAAAUUGUGUGUAGUGGUGAGCUCGCCUACCCUAGUUAAACAAGUGGUCCGUGAUCAAGAUAUAACAUUCUCAAACCGCGACCCACCGAUCGCUGGAACUGUGACCACCUACGGUGGCAAUGAUAUUGCACUUUCCAAUUAUGGUCCCGAAUGGAAAAAGUUGCGAAAAUUAUUUGUGAGCAAGAUGAUGAGUAAUGCAACCCUUGAUGCUUGUUAUGCUCUAAGAAAACAAGAGGUUAAAAAUACUAUCAGGGAUUUGUACAACAACAAUAAGGAUAAUAUUGGCAGUGGCAAUGGCAAGCCCAUUGACGUUGGUGAAUUGUCGAUUUCAACUUUGGUACGUGUUAUGCAGAACAUGCUGUGGGGUCAAGCAUUGGAAACAAGAGAGAAAGAGAUUACUAAUCUCGGGGCUAAUCUUGCAGAACUCAUGGUGCUACUGGGAACACCAAAUAUUUCGGAUAUUUUUCCAGUGCUUUCAUUGCUUGACAUGCAAGGUAUAGAGAGAAGAGCUAAGAAGAUUUCUCUAUGGUUUGAAAACAUUAUCAAUUCUGGUGUUGAACAGUAUAGAAACAAGUUUUCUGUUGUUAAAGGUGAAGAAGCUGCAGCAGGAAAAAAUAUUGAACGAUCAAGAAAUAAGGACUUCUUGCAGUUACUGUUGGAGCUUCAGGAAAAUGAAGAUAGUGCUUCAUCUAUUAGCAUGAACCAACUAAAGGCCGUGCUCGUGGUAUGUUAAGCAACUAGACACAAAAAGUUGUAAAAGCACAGUGAUAUAUUUGCGCGAGGCCGCGAGUGAUGUUUUGCCUCGAGAACUCUCAAUUUUAUCUUACGGUAAAAAAUGUUUUUCAACUUUUUUUAAUUAGAAUUUUAUUGCAAUUUAUUUAACAGGACAUAAUUGUGGCCGGAACCGACACCACAACUACGAUGGUGGAAUGGACAAUGGCAGAGUUGAUGCAACAUCCACAAGUAAUGAAGAAAGUUCAAGAAGAAUUAGCUCAAGUUGUGGGCAUGGACAGUUGUGUUGAAGAAUAUCACUUGCCUAAAUUAAAUUAUUUAGAUGCUGUGGUGAAAGAAACAUUUCGUUUGCAUCCUGCGUUGCCCUUAUUGGUACCUCGCACGGCAAGCGAGAACAGCAAUAUUGGUGGCUAUACCAUUCCCAACGACACUAAUUUUAUGUUGAAUGUUUGGGCUAUUCACAGGGAUCCUCAACUUUGGGAUAAUCCCUUAGAUUUUCGACCUGAGAGGUUCUUGAAUGAUGAUAUCAUAAGCAAAUUCAAUUACUCGGGUAACAAUUUUCAGUACUUGCCAUUUGGUUCUGGUAGAAGGAUGUGCGCUGGCAUUCCUCUAGCUGAGAGGAUGUUGAUGCUUGUUCUGGCUUCGUUGUUGCACUUGUUUGAGUGGAAAUUGCCCCCGGGCACAAAGCUAGACUUAGCUGAAAAGUAUGGGAUUGUCAUGCGGAAAAAAGAGCCUCUGAUUGCUAUUCCAACACCAAGGCUACCAAAUUCAGAUCUCUACCAGUAAGAUCAAAAUGGUUGUGAUGAUAUUAUUUCCCAUUGUAUUGGAAUAUUUUUGUGUGAUUUGAAGUUCAAUCAUAAUAAAAUAUUUUAAUAAAAUGUCCUCGGUUGCUAAUUUUUCAAUAGUAUACUCUAUCAUCGUUUCUAACUGUCUUUUAGAGCCAUUUGGUCUAAUUUAUUUUUGAAUUAAAAUCCAUAAAUAUUUAAAUUUUUGAAUCAUAUUAAGAAUUAUCUGGAGUGUAUGGUCUGAUCUUCAAGUUCUGGCUUGUAAACAAAUUAGAGUUCUGAUAUUUGCCCCGGGUCAAACCCCGAAAUUAAAUAAAACGGCGUCGUUUUGUUUUUUUUUUUUUUUUUUUCUUUUUUACUUCUUCCAAACGUUGCCAUUUCACUUGUCAUUUGCAAGUGACUCCAUUGAUCCUUAGUUGAAACAGAGUUACACCGUAAAUCUCUUCCUCUUCGUUUCUUCGUUUCACCAGGGAACGAGACAGAUAAAAUCCAGCCAUUCUUCGACAUAACAAGAUAUCGAUUAGAAUCCAACGACAUAACUAUAAACCAUGACAUUGCGCUUGAUUUUGCGAAAUACCGAUUAAGAACCAGUAACUUUGAAUCCAAUGACCGUUAAGAGUUUGAAAUUGGUUUCAAAUGACUAAUGAGUUAUCAGAUUUCUUUGCGUCUACAUUUUCCUUGAAGGUUUCUCAGCAGCCAAACAAAUACAAAGCAAAUUGCAGAAGAAACACAUUUUGUUCCAAUGAAAAAUGUACGGAAACAUUUUAAAUAUGGAAAAUUACCUCAAAAUGAAGGCUCGCAAGAGAUUCGAGCAACAAAUUAGAUCAAAGGAACCGGCGCUGAGCAAGAAAGUGAGCUCAAAGAUUCCGAAACACAAACGUAAAUUCACAAAAAUGCAAAUCUAUGAUGAACGCCAAGAUCAAAAUUUUCGAAGAAAGGGAGCUGAAAAAAUAAAUGAAACGUCAAACUAGAUGACAAUGGAUUUGCUUCUUCAAAGGAGACAAUGAAAUUGUUACUAGAGACAGCUAGAGAAAUAGAGAGAGAGAGAGAGAGAGCUUGAAUUGGCUGUACCCCCACCAGAAAGUGGGUAGUGCCUUUUCCACUUGGACUUGAUAUGCGAAUCUGAAAAAAUCUGAACGAAGGACUGACUCAUCCCAGCUCGAAAGCAAACCAAGCUAGGACUGACUGAAAACGUUGCCGUUUGGAGAAGUUAAAAAAAAAAACUAAACAAAACGACGCCGUUUUGUUUAGUUUCGGGGUUUGACCCGGAAUUUGACCCGGGGCAAACAUCAUUUUCCAACAAAUUAUGCAUGGUCGUGUACACGCUUUCCCUAAUUAAGCAUGAGGUUCGUGAUCAAGGCACAACAUUCACUCCCUGCGACCCAACAAUCGCUACAUUGUUUGCCACCUAUAGUGCCAACGAUUUUGCACGGUCCAAUUAUGGUCCCCAAUCGAAAACGUUGCGCAAAUGUUUUCUGGGCAAGAUGAUAAGUAACGCAAGCCUUGAUGCUUGUUAUGGUCUAAGAAAACAAGAGGUUAAUAUAUAUAUAUAUAUAUAUAUAUAUAUAUAUAUAUAUAUAUAUAAAUUGGCAUUGUCAACUUUUGUAUGUUUUAUUCAGAACCCGCUGUGGGUUGACGCUAGCAUGCUUGCGUUAGGAGACGAGGGGACCAAUCUUGGGGCUGAGCUAAAAUAUAAGCUUGUAGAGAUCAUCUUGCUAAUGGUAAUGUUUUCCGAUGCUGGUUUAAUUCAUGGUAUAAAAAGGAGAACAAAAAAGAUUUUUCUAUGCUUUGAAAAUAUUAUAAUUUUUAUUUUAUAAUUUUUAAUAAAAUCUCUCAUUGAUAGCCAAACAAUUAAAAUUUUUGUAAAGCUUUUGUGGACUUUUGAUCGCGUAUGGUGCCAAUGUAUUGCGUGGUCCUAUUAUGGUUCCAAAUGGAGAAAGUUGCACAAGUUUUUUGAGUACCAGAAGAUCAGUAAUGUAAGCCUUGAUGGUUGUUAUGGUCUAAGAAAACAAGAGGCUAAAAAUUCUAUCUGGGAUUUUUAUAACAACAACAAAAUUGGCAAGCCCAUUGACAUUGGUGAAUUGUCAGUUUCAACCUUGGUAAGUGCGAUUCAGAACAUGCUGUGGGGUGAAACGCUUGAAAUAACAAAGAAAUGGAUUUACUAAUAUUGGGGCUGGGCUAAGAUUUAAGCUUGCAGAACUCACGGUGCUAGAGGGAACACCGAAUAUUUUGGAUAUCUUUCCAGUGCUUUCAUGGUUUAAUAUACAAGGUUUUCAGAGAAUAGCAAAGAAGAUUUCUCUAUGGUUUUAAAAUAUUAUCAAUUCUACUGCUGAACGCUAUAGAAACAACGUCUCUAUUGUCAAAAGUGAAGAAGCAGCAGCAGCAGGGAACAAUAUUGAAGGAAGGAAUAAGGACUUGGUGCAGUUACGCUUGGAGCUUCAAGGUAAAGAAGACAAUGCUUCAUCAAUUAGCAGGACGCAAUUUAAGAGCUUGCUCGUGGUAUGUUGCGCAACUAGCCACAGACAGUUACAGAAACUGAGUUUGGCAGAUUACGACCGUUUCUGGUGAUUACAUAAUUAUUUGUGGCUGUUUUUUUUUUUUAAUUGUAAUUUUCUUAACAGGAUAUAAUUUAGGGUGGAACCAACACCACAACUAUAAUGGUGGAAUGGACAAUGGCAUAAUUGAUACAGCAUCCACAAGUAAUAGAGAAUGUACAGGUAGAACUAAAUCGGGCCGUGGCCAUCGACAGCCAUGUUGAAGAAUUUCACCUAGCUAAGUUAAAAUAUUUAGAUGCUGUGGUGAAAGAAACAUUCUGCACUGUAAUAUAAUACAUGAAUCAUAUGUCCUCUAUUGUUUUUUUAUUUUUCUCUUUUUUUCAAUAGCUUAAUCUAUCAUUAAAAUCUUCUGAAAUUCUAAAUUAAUAUACAUUCAACCUAGAGUUCAAGCCAAAGUUUUAUUGAGCAUUAAAAAAAAAAAAAAUUCUACGACUCAAAAUUUUGUGGAGUAUAAAUUAAAAAUUAUGCGCCUACUAAGAGACAAAAAAUAAAUGAUACACAUUAACCAAUCAAAGGCGAACAAGAGAUUAUUAACAAUAACCUAAUAAUAAAAUUAUAAUGAAUAAAAAAGAAAUGGUACCUAGAAACACAUCACAGCCAUUUAAGCAAUCACUUACCCACAAAAUCCAAACAUAUAAACUAUGUGGGGGGGGGGGGGGGGGGGGGGGGUGUCAUGAUACCUUUGGGUUUCAUGAUAAUCAAAAUUGCAAUACCAUUAAAGACUCAAAAAUAAAAAAAAUCAUAGCCAAUAAAAGAGAAAAAAUAACCCACAAAAAAUCAUCAAGAAAAUAAAUUUGAGACUAAGAGAAGAUAUUAAUUAAACCCUGGGUUGCCUUGGAACCACGGCUUUGGCUUCCAUUUUUCAAUUCUUGGCGACAAGUCAUUUCUUGUUUGUUUACAAAGAUGACGGCUGAUUAAUGAAGCUCUAUUAACAAUGAAUAAAUAAAAAAACUGGCGCCUUGAAAAGACUAACGGUCAUAUUUUUCAACUCCGAAUUAGUGCCGUUUGAUGAGUCCUUGCCAAAACAAUCACUAGGCAAAUAACAAUCAUUUUUCAACCAGCAAAACUCAUUCAUUGUAUUUCACCUUAGUCAAGAUUUAAAAAUUGUUUCAAAAUAAACCUAGUGGUUAGAACCCAAGCGUCACAAUUGUGAGGUCAUGGGUUUGAGCCCCCACAACGUAUUGUGGGGGUUAAUUUUCUUCUUCAAUUUGAGUGAAAACAGUUCUCUCCCUUUCGAAAUGUGGGUGGAGUGGACGUCCCUCAAAUAUUAGAGAGGGUUCAAAUUUGGAUUGUACUAUAUAAGAUUUAUAAAUUAGUCCCAGUAAUUAUCUGAUUGUAAAUAUCAAUAUACUAAUCUAAUUAAAUAUGAGUUGUAAUAUGAGCGUUAGUCUCAUGUAAUUAAAAAAAAAAUGUUUCAAAAUAGGAUUCUUAAAAGGUUGGGGAAAUGGCCAUCAAUAUCCCCAACUUUCCAAAAAGAGACACCAAGACCCAUUUUGACCAUAAUACCCUUUACUUCUAUUAUCCCCAAAAAAUUGACUCUAAUGUUUUAUAAUAAAUAAAAAUAUAACAUUAAAAUAAAUGUAAUAGUAUAUACAUUUUAAAAUAGUUUCAAUAUCUAAAAACCAUUUUAAUAUUUUAAAUCCUAUUAUAUAUAUAUUAAAGUAAAUUUUAUAAUAAAUAGAAUCAUAAUAUUGAAAUAAAUGCAUUAAAAUUUAAAUUAUUUUUAAUAUUAUGUAAAAUAAUAAUUUUAUCAUUAUAAGUAUAUGAGAAUUUUUUUAAUUGUAGAAUGUAUUUAAUGCAAAUAUUUAUUUAAAAUCUCUACAAUAAAUAAAAAUAUACUAUUAAAACAAAUCUCUACAAUAUAUACAUACAUACAUAUACAUUGGCCUGGUAUUUUAUUUUUCAUUUUUUAAACUUAUUAAAUCCUCUAACUAUCAUUUGAUUAUUUUUUUCAAUGAUGAAGAGGCCAUUGCCGGAUAAAUUAUUAAAAUCAACUAGUUCUACAAGAAUGUCCCUUUUUAAAGGAAGAUGAUUCUCUCUCUCGAAAUUUUUUAUCUUGUGCUACAAACUAAAAACUUAUGCCAUUUCAUUAACCACAGAGAUCUUUGAGGAAAUGAUGCUUCGCCCCCCCCCCCCCCCCCCCCCCCCCCCCCCCCCCCCCGCGGCGCCAAAAAGUGUCCUUCCAUAUUUUGUGAAGGCUAAUACAUCGAUGAAUCUAGAUUUCUUUAAAUUUUUUGUUUUACUCAAUUCGAGAUAAUAAAUAGUUUAUCUUUAUUAAAUCUUUACUUUAACAAUGAUAGAUAUUCAAUCCAUGCAAAUAUCUAUCAUUGUAUGAGCUGAUUGCGUGGAGGGAGCGGUAAUUGAAAUCUAAUUGAAAACAGCAGAAGGCUGUUCUUGACAGAUCUCAAAUAUAUUACGGACACGUUGGGAGACAUCUCUAUCAUAGAUAUCCCCAUGCAGUGAUAUUUGUCGUGAUCUAAUUUUUAGUAAAUCUGUAAGAGAGAUUGUAACAUCUUUCAAGUUUUUUGGUUUGAUAUUCUAGACGAAAACGGUUUGUCGUUUCUUGAGCAAACGGCUAACCGUUUAAGUCCAGAGAGCAUGUUUGUUGUUCUGGAUAAAACGGCUCACCGUUGUUGCGAAAACGGCUAACCGUUUAACUCAAGAGAGCAUGUUUUAUGUUCUAGAGAAAACGGCUCACCGUUAUUGAGAAAACGGCUAACCGUUUAUUUACAGAGAGCAACGUAUUUGAUAUUCUGGAAUAAAAUGGCUCACCAUUUAUUGAGAAAACGGCUAACUGUUUAUUUCCAGAAAGGCGUCAAUUAGAAAAACGGUUAGCAAGAAUGAAAAUUUCAAUUGACAAUCGAUGCAAAUUCAAACCAAAAGAGUGUCUUCGAAAAAGUACCAUUUCUAAUGGUUGUAUUCUUUCAAAUAAACAUCUUCUUCAUUAAAGAAAUACACACAAUUAGAUUGAUAAUCAGAUUUUGACAGGUUUCUUAUAUGUUCUGGAAAUACAAUCUUAUUUGCUAGAGAUUGUAUUCAGGAUUUGUUAUAUCUUGGGGGUAAUUUGCCAUUAAAACUAUAUAGCAAACCAAGAUUGGUGAGGGCAAAUAAAACCUUAAAGGAAAGUAUGCAAACACGUCUCAAAUCCUAUGAAACUUUCUUUGUUCUUUGCCUCCAUAUUCUUAUUAUUCACUAACAAAAUCCCCAUGCAGUGAUAUUUGUCGUGAUCUAAUUAUUAGAAAAAUCUAUGAUUUCGCUACUGUAAUAAAAUUUGUCACUACUCUACAUUAAUCUAAAUGUCUGAUGAGAUUUGUAAUUGCUUCCGACGGGAAAACAGUUAAUAGGUUGAUUGAAUGUAUGUGGUAAAGAUUCCACGUAUCUCACGACAGAAUGCUGACCACUGGAACCCUAUCUACUUUUACGCGAUUAAUUCACGAGCUUAGGCACGACAAUUGCAAUACAAAUUAUCCCUUCAUCAUAUAUUUCGUUAAAAUUCAUUCUGAAGCACUAAAACUAAACAAUCGAAUAUGGCUUUGAGGGUCGAUGAUGCCAGCAGCAAUGAGAGUGCAAUUAUCACUUGUUUAGUUUCUGUGCUUGCCGUGGCUUAUUUAGCAUGGAAUGUGAAAAAAUCAAGGAAAGCAAAUGCUAAACUGCCACCAGGACCUCGCGGCUUGCCUGUAGUCGGAUACCUCCCAUUUCUCGGGACUACUGACUUGCACAAGAAAUUCACGGAAUUUAUUUUACUAUUAUAUUUAUAUUCAAAAUAAUUUUAAUUAGCUUUUAAAAUGAAUGAUUUUAGGAAAUUAUAAAUAAAGGUAACUAAGAAUUCUCUUAAUGUAAUAUAUUAUUAAUUAGUUUAAAAAUACAAAUUUAUUAAUUAGAGAAAUUAUUAGUGAAUUUAAAUUAAUGAUCUUAAUGAUUUGUUUGUACGAUUGCCCCCAAUCAAAGGUAAUUUUCCUAAAAAUUAUUAGGAAAUUAGAGAAAUUUAAUUUUUUUAGUGGGUUCAAUUGCCCACACACCCCGACUGAAGCAUUUUUUACAAUAUGUACUCCGUUUGUCGGCAGGAAAAUAAAGGUCUUGACACAUGAUCACUUCACUCCUUUAUUUACUUUGCUAACGCAGAUUUUGAGGUAUUAAAACAAAUAAUAAUUGAAUAUGACUUUGUGGGUCGACGACGCCAGCAACGAGGAGACCGCCAAUUAUCACAUUUUAAGUUUGCUGUAAUUGCCGUUGUUUUAUAUUAGUAGAAUAUUAGUGAUAAGAUAAUUGUAGAGUUUUCAUUUUUUUAAUAUUAAAAUCAAGUCAAUUUAUUAUAAUAAAUUUAGUUGAAUUUAAUCGUAUUACCACAUAAAUUGAAUAAUAAUAGAAUUCUCGACAAUAUUUCAAUAUUUUAAUCUCAAGCAUUGGAGUGGCAUUUAUUUGUUAUACGGUCGAUUUUAGAAUUUAUAAAAUUAUUCGUUGCUGAAUUGCACCAUAUGCUGCAUAACCUGAAACUUAAUAAACGGAACGUAGCGUUGGCACCGUUACUCAACAUUCACUGUUACGACUUUGUGACAUUAGAAUUAAAAUCUUUUCCACAUUUAAUUUGUUUACUUCCAACUUAAUAUUUAACAAAAUGUAUGUUAGCAUUGUAUGCCAUAUCAUCUGUAAUUUUGUCAGGAUCGAUCAUUCUAAUUUUUAAGCAGAACUUUUUGUCAAUGGACAAACACCUCAUACAGCUUGUCAGAGGCAUUAGUAUGAUGUAAAAUUGUAAUGGUAUAUCUUGAAUUAUUUUAGAAUAGUGAAUAACUAUUUGGAGCAAUAAAAACAAAUAAGACAGAUGAGAAAAUGGCUAAAAUUAUAUAAGUGACCCAAAAUUUUUUGCUAUUUCCAAGAAAUCCCCAAUCUGAAUGGACCAGAGGGAGGCAAGUUAGAAAUACAUUUCCUUCAUAGACAAUAACAACGAUGAGUGGAUGACAUCAAACCACGUUGGUAUCAAUAUUGAAAUAAAGGUGCAAUUAUUCAGCCAAUGAGCCUUAGUACACAUCAAGAUAUAUAAAAGUCAAGAAAAUGAAAAUUUAUCCCAAUUAAAACUCUUUCUGGCUGCAUUUAGCUGUUUCUGUUUAGGGAUGGCAAUUUAAUCCGGACCCAGCCCGACCCGGAUGAAUCCAGAAAAUUCGGGGUGGAUUCAACCCGUACCGGAGUGAAUAAAAUCUGAUAUUCAAAUUCAAUAUUUUCAACCCGGACGUUUCCGAGUCCGGAUCCGGAUUUGGGUAAACCCGCAUAUCCGGAACCCGGAUCCGGAUAACUAUUUUAAUAUUAAUUUUUAAAUCAUUUUAAAAUAAAAAAAAAUUAGAAAAAAUCAGCCCUAAUGCCCUUCCACAGCCACGGCAGCCAAACCAAACCCAGACAUUUCCUCUCUCUCUCUUUAGCCCUUCUUUUCAACAAAUCAUCAUCGUUGCUCAUCAUCGUUUCGUCGUGUUCAUCUUCAUCUUCAUCAUCAGCUGCCGUUUGUCCAGCUAUGUCACUAGUUUUGGCCGCCGUUUCCGUUUGUGCACCUUCGCAAAUCGGGAUCUCGAUUUGGCCGCCAACACUUCUACCCCCUGGUGUUUUGCUUUGUCCUCGACAACUUCUUUGUUGAUAAAUUGACGGGCACUUAUGAAUGCAUUUGUCUCUGUUUCUUCAUUUACACCUUCCCAGUUGUUUGUUCAUUUGCUUUUUGGAAGGAAAAAAAAAAAAAAUCAGCCACCAUUUAUCCUUCCCCUUUUCUUGACCUAACCCCACAAAGCCCAAUUUGUCAUCAUCAUUCAUUGGCAAAUUUGUUAUCAUCAUGGUUGAGACAUCAUGAUUAUCUUUGAUAAUUGAAUUUGUGUAAUAUGUUACCUUGGAUUUUAUUUCUAAGUAUUUGAUUUUGAAUUAUUUUCCAUUAUUGGUGUUAAUAGAUAGAAGAUUAGAAAGGAAUUCUUCACUGAAUAAAGAGAUGGGAAAUUGCAUCUUUUAGCAAUCAUCCGGGUUAUAAACCCGGAAUCCGGAAACCAGGAUUUUUCCGGGUUUAACCCAGUCCGGACCCGAAUGAAAAAUAUCCGGGUUUACAUCCGGGUCUGGUAUUAAAAUUUAUCGUCCGGAUCCGGAACAGGGAAGACAAAACCCGGACCCGAACCCACAUUUUGCCAUCCCUAUUUCCAUUUGAAGUUAACAACAACGUUUCUUUCGUUUUGUGGGCGACUUGACUGAGCCAGCUGGAUUCUAGUGCUAGUAUGUGAAAAUAGAAGGCUAAUGAUUUCACGUUCACUAGCCCACCUCCCCUCCUCUCGUUUCCUCUGAAUCAAUUUUCACGUGUGGUACCGAUUGAAAAUAUCUCUGACAUUUCGUGGACAUCUCUAUUGAAAAUAUCUCAGACAUUUCACUCAGGCAAACUUAUUAAUAUAAAAAAUCUAUGAUUUUUUCGUCUUAUACUGUAGAAAAAUUUGUCUAUACAUUAAUCUAGAUGUUUGAGGUGGUUUAUACAUCUGUGGUAUAGAUUUAUAGGUUGAUUGAUACGUCUGUGGUAUAGAUUUUAUGUAUUUCAUUAUCAAAUGCUGGCCUUUGGGACCCUAUCUACAUCUAUUUAUAAAACUAACGGGUGCCAGUUAUGCCAUUACAAAUUAUCCCCUCUUCAUACAUUUCCUUAAAAUUCUUCUGAAACACCAAAACUAAAUAAUCGAAUAUGGCUUUGCGGGUCGAUGAUGCCAGCAACAAUGAGGCUGCAAUUAUCACUUGUUUAGUUUCUAUGCUUGCCGUGGUUUAUUUCGUAUGGAAUGUGAACAAAUCAAGGAAAGCAAAUGCUAAACUGCCACCAGGACCUCGCGGUUUGCCUGUAGUCGGAUACCUCCCAUUUCUCGGAACUACUGACUUGCACAAGAAAUUCACGGAAUUAUCCGGAGUUUAUGGUCCGAUCUUCAAGCUCUGGCUCGGAAAUAAAUUAAGUGUCGUGGUGAGCUCACCUUCCCUAGUUAAACAAGUGGUUCGUGAUCAAGAUACAACAUUCGCAGACCGUGACCCGCCGAUCUCAGGACUAGUGACCUCCUUUGGUGGCAAUGAUAUUACAUGGUCCAAUUACGGUCCCGAAUGGAGAAAGUUGCGCAAAUUUUUUGUGGGCAAGAUGAUGAGUAACGCAAGCCUUGAUGCUUGUUAUGCUUUAAGAAAACAUGAGGUUAAAAAUACUAUCAGGGAUUUGUAUAACAACGGCAACAAAAUUGGUAAGCCCAUUGACAUUGGUGAAUUGUCGAUUUCAACAUUGGUAUGUGCUAUGCAGAACAUGCUGUGGGGUGAAGCGCUUGAAUUAAAAGAGAAAGGGACAACUAAUCUUGGGGUUGAGCUAAAAUUUAAGUUUGCAGAACUCAUGGUGCUACUGGGAACACCGAAUAUUUCGGAUAUCUUUCCAAUGCUUUCUUGGCUCGACAUACAAGGUAUAGAGAGGAGAGCAAAGAAGAUUUCACUCUGGUUUGAAAAAAUUAUAAAUUCUACUGUUGAAAAGUAUAGAAGCAAGGACUUUAAUGUUGAAGGUAAAGAAAGAGCAGGGGAAAAUUUUGAAGGAUCAAGGAACAAGAACUUCUUGCAGUUACUAUUGGAGCUUCAAGAAAAUGAAGACGGUUCUUCCUCAAUUAGCAUGAACCAAUUUAAGGCCGUACUCGUGGUAUGUUAAGAAACUAGCCGCAAACAGUUAUACAAGCACAGCUGUAUAUUUUGCAUGAGUGAUAUUUUCAACCUUUUUUUUUUAUAAUUAGAAUUUUAUUGUAACCUUUUGGACAGGAUAUAAUUACGGCUGGAACCGACACCACAACUACGAUGGUGGAAUGGACAAUGGCAGAGUUGAUGCAGCAUCCACAAAUAAUGAAGAAAGUUCAGGAAGAAUUAGCUCAAGUUGUGGGCAUGGACAGUUGUGUUGAAGAAUUUCAUUUGCCUAAAUUGAAAUAUUUAGAUGCUGUGGUGAAAGAAUCGUCUCGUCUGCAUCCUGCAGUGCCUUUAUUACUACCACGCAGAGCAAGCGAGAGUGGCAGCAUUGGUGGCUAUAACAUUCCCAAAGAUACAACUAUUAUGUUGAAUGUUUGGGCAAUCCACAGGGACCCUAAACUUUGGGAUAAUCCCUUAGAAUUUCGACCCGAGAGGUUUCUAGAUGAUGGUAUCGCGAGUAAGUUCGAUUACUCAGGUAACAAUUUUCAGUACUUGCCAUUUGGUUCUGGUAGAAGGAUGUGUGCUGGGAUUCCUCUAGCUGAGAGGAUGCUGAUGUUUGUUUUGGCUUCGUUAUUGCACUCAUUUGAGUGGGAAUUGCCAGCUGGCACAAAGCUAAACUUAUCUGAAAAAUUUGGGAUUGUCAUUAAGAAAAAAGAGCCUUUAGUUGCUAUUCCAACACCAAGACUAUCCAAUUCAGAGCUCUACCAUUAAGACAGAAUGGUUGUGAUGAUUUUGUUAAUUUCCGAAGAUUUGUAUGUUAUGUCAAGUUCAAUCGUAAUAAAAUAUUUCAAAUAAGAGUCCUCCGUUGCUUUUUUUUUUUUUUUCAACCGCAUAAUCUGUCGUCAUGCUUGUAUUUGGGGCUACUUUGGAAUAAUUAUGUUUGAAUUACAAUAUAUAAAUAUUACAUUUUAAAAUUUUAUGAGAUUCUAAAUUUAUACACGUUCAAUAACCCACUUCAUAUAUGUUUAACACAAUUUAUAUCAUACAUUGUAUACCCAUUUGUCAUAAAUUACGCUAUUUUAUAUCUCUAAAUAAUAUUACAUAUUGAUAUUAUAAAAUGUUGUUAACUCACGUGUGUAUAUAUAUAUAGCAAGUCACGUGCAUAUAUUAUUGGUUGUUAUAUGUUUGCUAGUUUGAUAGGAUUUCCUUUCCUUGUGAACUAGGGUAAUUCUUAUGUACAUAUAAAUAUUGAUCAAUAAGAGUGCAGAUGAUGACUGCAGUUUUGCAUCGUAGAAAUUCUUCGUAAAAUAUAUAUGUUUAUCAAAAGGCUAUACCAUUCAAUAUAUAUUGGAAAGAGAACAAAGAAGAUCUUCUUAUGGUUUGAAAAUAUUAUGAAUUCUGCUGUUGAACAGUAUGGAAACAAGGUCUGUUGUUAAAGGUGAAGAAGUCACAGGGAACAAUAUUGAAGGAAGAAAUUUCACGUUUAGUUGCUGAAUUUGCCGCUGUAUUCUAUCGGUAGUAAAAAGAUUAGAGUUUUUAUUUUUCUCUAUUAAUGUUAAGUCAAUUUUCUAUAACAAAUUCGGUUGAGUUUAAUUGUGUUACAAUAUAAAUUGAAUGAUAGUAGAAUUUUCAACGAAUAAUUCAAUAUUUCUAUCUCGAUUGUUGAAGUGCCAUUUAUUUGUUAUACGAUCGAUUUUAAAAUUUAUAAAAUUAUUUGUUACUAAAUUGCAUCAUAUGCUAAAUCACCUGAAACCUAAUUUCAUAACUAACCCUUUAUUUUUAGUUCUCAAGAAAUCUUGUAAGAACAAAAUUCUUUUGUAACAAAACGUUUACAACAAAUUAAUUUGUAACUCAUUCCUGUGCGAGAAUCACUCUCAAUUUCCUUCAAUUGCUGUUUAACAAUCAUCUGCUUAUCAAAAUUCAAGCAUAAUCUUUUUUUUUAAUUUCUUCAUCAUUCUUUUGAAAAAAAAAAUCAGGAUAUGCUGUUAAAUUUUGAAAUAAAUUAUCUCAAAAUAAUUACUAACCAGAAAAAACAAAGGGGUUUAACUAGGUUAUGCAUACCUUUGAAAAUUAUAUGUUGAUCGAUAAGAAUGAUGAUCACGAUUGACGAGUUUAAUUAAAAUAUAUAAGAUUUUAAAAUUAAUCAGGGUUAAAUUGUGAAUUUUAGAAAGAGAGGUUUUGUGAGAAUGUUGAAAGGGUGUUAAUAGUUCCACUCUUUUUAAAAACAACCAUAGUCAUCAUUUUUCCAUGGUUGUUUUUAAAAAGAGUAUUUCUUCUUCCCAUCUCCAUCUUAUUUAGAAAUUUCCCAGAGCCUUUGUUUCCCACCUUUCAUUUUUCUUCUUUCUAAUUUAAUAAUCCACCCUUCUUGUAUUCAAACUAAAAAAUUAAAAUCUGAAAAUUUAAAACCCAAUAUUAUAGUAUUAUAAAAAUAAUUACUCACAUUUUAUCAAACACCUCCAUUCUUCCAAGGCCUUGUUUUAGUAGUAGGCUUUUAUUAUCUCAAUAAAAUUGAAAAAAAAAAUCUCAAUAAUAUUGGAAAAAAACCCUACCCAUAUUUGUAACUUUAAUUUAUUAUUCUCCAUAGACCUACUUUUUAGUUUUGAAUUUUGUUGGAGCCAUAUAUAAACAGAAUAUGUUGAAAUCAGCACCCAAAAAAAAAAAAACUAAUUAUAUAAUUUAUGUUCCCAAGGACAUGGCUGAGUGAUUUUCAAGAAGUUUUGUUUGGCUGGCCACUUAGGUUUAAAUCUUGGUGGAGAUUAAGGGUUAAGAAAUAAAUUUAGACUUUGCACACCCCUUUAACUUUUAAAAAGAAAUGAAAAAAUUAAUUAAUUAAUCUUUAUUUUAUUUAUUAAAUGUCAUAAUCCUAUGCGUAUUUUAUUUGUUAUCUUUCUAUUUAAAAGACGAGGGCAGAUAAAACUGAAAUAAAUUUUUAGCCCUAUCUCCAUAUUUCAAGUUCCAUAGUUAGGUGACCAGCUAAAAAAAAUUAAUUGAAAGCUACUCCAUCAAAUUAAAAAAAUUUAUUUAUUUAAUUUGUGGAGAUGUAGAAAAUCAAACCCCAUACCUUUUCGCAUACACUGAACAUAUUUUAAUACAUGACUAUCAUCCUUUAUCCUAAAUACUACUAUAACUAAUAACAUACAAUUGAAAUAAUUAAUGUUAACACUUGGCUAUAAAUAAAGGUUUUGUGCUUGAAUCUUCACGCAUGACCUUCAUUCCUUUAUUGACUUUGCUAACACAGAUUUUGAGGCAUUAAAACUAAAUAAUAAUUGACUUUGUGGGCCGAGGAUGCCAGCAACAAGGAGACCACAAUUAUCACUUAAGUUACUCUAAUUGCCGUUGUCUUAUAUUCAUAGAAUAUUAGUAAUAAGAUUAUUGCAGAAUUUUUUUAAUAUUAAAAUUAAGUCAAUUUGUUAUAACAAAUUUAGUUGAGUUUAAUCGUGUUACUACAUAAAUUGAAUAAUAAUAGAAUUCUCGACAAAUAUUUCAAUAUUUUUAUCCCAAGCGUUGGAGUGGCAUUUAUUUGUUAUACGAUCGAUUUUAGAACUUAUAAAAUUAUUCGUUACUGAAUUGCACCAUAUGCUGCAUGACCUGAAACUUAAUAAACGGAAUGUAGCGUUGGCACCGUUACUCAACAUACUGUUACGACUUUGUGACAUUAGAAUUAAAAUCUUUUGCACAUUUAAUUUGUUUACUUCAAAAUUAAUAUUUAACAAAAUAUUUUUUUCACAUUAUCAAUGGACAAAACUCCAACGAAAAUAACUACACAAGAAAAAUGUAUGCUAGUAUUGUGUGCCAUAUCAUCUGUAAUUUUGUCAGGAUCGAACACUCUAAUUUUUAAGCAGAACUUUUUAUCAAUGGACAAACACCUCACACAGCUUGUCAGAGGCAUUAUUAUGAUAGAAAACUGUAAUGGUAUAUCUUGAAUUAUUGGUAGAAUAGUUCUUUGGAGCAAUAAAAAUAGAUAAGACAGAUGAGAAAAUUGUCAAUACCCCACCGCAAAAGCAAAAGAAAAAAAGGAAAGGAGACAAAAGAGGAAGAAGAAAAAAAGGAAAGGAGACAAAAGAGGAAGAAGAAAAAGAAAAAAGAACGAAGAAAAAAAUGGUGCCGCGCUGUAUUGGGAAGAAGAAAAAAAUUAAUAAAAUAAUAAUAAAUAAUAAAUAAUAAAUAAUAAAAUAAUAGUGCACAACAAUCAUUUGAUUGCUAUAAAUAAAGGGGCAUUUUCCUCAUUUUAUUCAUCGAAUUCUUCAGUUCCUUUCAAGCGAUUUAAGAGUCUAGUGAUUUGAGAGUUUGGGAGUAUUGUGAUUUUGAGUACUAAGUUAAAAUACUAUAAUACUUGUAACUCAUUUUCACUAGUAAAAUAUUUUUCUUCUGUCUUCGCCCGUAGACGUAGGCUAAAAGCUGAACCACGUAAUUUCUGGUGUCCCUAUGUGAUUAUGUGUCUCAUUAUUUCUCAAUUUUACUUUAGUUACGUGUCUGCUACACCCUUCAAUUUACUAACAAAAAUGGCCAAAAUUAUAUAAGUGACCCAAAUUUUUUUGCUAUUUCCAAGAAAUCCCCAAUCGGAAUAGACCAAACUAGAGGGAGGCAAGUUAGAAAUACGUUUCCUUCAUAAACAAUAACAGCGAUGAGUCGAUGACAUCGAGCCACGUCGGUAUCAAUAUUGAAUUAAAGGUGCAAUUAUUCAGCCAAUGAGCCUUACACAUCAAGAUAAAAGUCAAGAAAAUGAAAAAUUUAUCCUAAUUAAAACACUUUCUGGCUGCAUUUAGCUGUUUCUAUUUGAAGUUAAAAACAACAUUUCUUUCGUUUUGUGGGCAACUCGACUGAGUUCGCUGGCUUCUAGUGCUAGUAUGUGAAAAUAGAAGGCUAAUGAUUUAUUUGUUAUCUUUUGACAAAAAAUGUUAAAGAUAUAAUAGAUUUUCCAUGAUACAAAUGAAAAAUUAUAUCAACAUAACUUCCAAGCUACAGCAGCUAGUGUUUACCAAACACUUUGCUGUAGCUUUUAAGCUACAGCUGCCCAACCUCAAUAGGUUGAUUGAAUUUGUGGGAUAUAGAUUCCACAUAUCUCAUGACCUAUUAAUUAUACAAGUGGUUCUUGAUCAAGAACAACAUUUGCUUCCGACCCAGUAACCCAGCAACUGCUGCACUGGUCGCCACCUAUGGUGCCGACGAUAUUGCAUGGUCCAAUUAUGGCCUUGAAUGGAAAAAGUUGAGCAAAUUAUUUGUGGGCACGAUGAUAAGUAACGCAAGCCUUGAUGCUAGUUAUGGUCGAAGAAAACAAGAGGUUAAGAAUACUAUCAGAGAUAUGCAUAACAACAAAAAGGAAAAAAAAAAAAAAAGGCAUUGGCAAGUCAAUUGAUAUUGCUGAAUUGUCGAUUUCAACUUUGGCAUGUGUAAUUCAGACAUUGCGCGUUGUGGUAUGGCGCUGGCACGCUUGCAUUGCCGAGAGGACAAAUCUUGGGGCUGGGCUAAAAUUUAGGCUUGUAGAACUCAUGGUGCUAAUGGGAACGCCAAAUUUUUUUAACAUAUUUCGGUGCUUUCAUGGUUUAAUUCAAGGUAUAGAAAGGAGUGUUGAGAAUGUCAAAUAAAACGACAUUGAAUGGAAGUUGUCAAAGACAUGAUCCGCACUGAACGGCAAUGACACGGUUGGUAAAGAUUUUUUCAUAAUAUGCGUAUCUAAUUUUUGAAAAAUUGUAACCUCUGCUUCUAUAAAUAUGCUCAAUGUAUAAUGUUUUACUUAAGAAAUGAAAAACUUAAUUCUUUAUGGUAUCAGAGCGAGGCUCGUUGCUCUGUUUGUAACAAAAACAAAGAAAACUAAAUUCUUCCCACAACUAUUUUUCCACCUUUUUUUCUUCCUUAAAAGCAUUCCUAGCAUUACAGAAACCCAUGCCAAUAAAAGAACAAGCCACACAUAUGUAAAAACUUUAGUUUACAAAUCUAUCAACAUCCCCAUAAAUUUUCCCAAAAAGUGAUCUUCAAAAACCAAAAAUACCAUCAAUUUUCGCAUCUUCUAGUAAACAAACUAUAAAAGUUUCGCACUCAAACAGAGCCACACGCGCCUCCACGCGCUUCCCGGAAUCACGGCCAACCACCACGCGCCUCUGUCACCACCAACUCACCCUCAUGCGCUCCAGAUGUUGCAGAAGACGCAAAACGACGUGUCGUUUUCUUCUCUAAAAGUGCAGCAACGUGGAAAUGACUUUUUGUUUUUGCCUUAAAUUGUUUUUCCUCGUUUGAAGCUAUACAACAUUUUUCUUUCUAAACCUGUUUUUUACAAUAAAAAAAGAAAAAAAUGGAGAAAACUCCAACUGAAUCUACUCAUGUUGUCAUUCAAUCUGUUCAACCUGAUGGAGUAUUUAAUGCCGAAAUUAUCCUUACUAAGACAAACUACGAUAUUUGAUCUCAAAUAAUGGAGAUGCAUCUCGCAGAAAGAAAAAAACUCCCAUAUAUUCGUAGCAGCAUAAAUCCAUCUGACAAAUUUUCAAAGAAAUAUGAGAAAUGGUAUAGUGAGAACCAAAAAGUAAAAAGAUGGUUACUCAUAACCAUGUGUCCUGAGAUCAUGAAGCGAUAGUUACAAAUUCCUACAGCCUACGAAAUUUAGAAUGCAUUAUCAAAAGCCUUUUAUAAUGGAAGCGAUGAAAUACAAGUUUUCACUCUAAAUCAGAAGGCGUUCUCUACGAAGCAAAAUGGACAACCACUCUCUAAAUUCUACGGAGAAUUGAUCAAAAUGUUUCAAGAACUUAAUCACCGAGAUAAAGUGGUCAUGAAGGAUCCAGAAGAUGUUAUAAUAUAUAGGAAGUUUGUUGGAAGAUUGAGAGUGCACAUUUUUCUUGCUGGACUAGAUGAAGAAUUUGACCAAGUUUGUGGAGAAAUUCUACGAAAAGAUACUAUCCUAGACUUAAAAGAAUGUUAUUCUCUAAUCCGAAAAGAAGAUGUACGGCAAAGCAAACUAACAAGAAGGUGGACGACUCAGAAACGUCUGCUAUGAUACCACAAGAGAACAAUGUUUUGAAAUUGUUCGAUAUCCUGACUGGUGGGAUACUCGAAGUAAUAACACAAAGCAGAGAUAAAAAACUGCAGUAGCUGAAUCCACAUCCACUACAGAUCUUAGAAAAGAAUCUUCAGCGCAAAUUGCAACCUCUGUCAAUUCAGGUAAGGUCAUUAAAACUCUUACAUUUGUUAUUAAUAGUAUAUGGAUAAUUGAUUAUGGUGCAACUGAUCAUAUGACUUUUGAUUCUUGACAAGUUUCUUAAUUGAAACCAUCUUCACAUAAACAUGUUUCUACUGUAAAUAGAACCACAACCUCAGUUAUUGGGGAAGGAUCUUUACAACUCACAAUUAAAUCAAAUUUAGACUUUGUGUUAAUUGUUCCAUCUUUAAAUUAUAAUCUUUUAUAUGUGUCUCAAAUAACCUCUUACUUAUCAUGUGUUGUAAUGUUUUGGCCCGAUCAUUGCAUGUUUAAGGACAUCCAAAUGAAGGAAACGAUUGGUUAUGAUAUUAAAUAAGGCAACUUGUAUUACCUGGAGAUGACAUCAACAAACACUGAAAAGCUAAGCCCCGCAUUAGUAGCAGACAAUUCCAUGAAAAAAAAGGAAAUAAGAAAUUUGGUUAUGGCAUAGACGAUUAGGGCAUGUGUCAUUUGAUUUCUUAAAAAAAUUGUUUCCUAGUUUGUUUCUGAAAUUUGAUAUUUGUAACUUUAAAUAUGAUGUUUGUGAACUUUCAAAUAGCCAUCGAACUACUUUUCCAUUGUCCUUAAAUAAGAAUCCAAUUCCUUUAAUGGUAGUACAUUCUGAUGUAUAGAGACCAUCUAAAGUUUCUACCAUUGGAAGAGCUCGUUGGUUUGUUACAUUUAUUGAUGAUUGUAGCAGAAUGACAUGGAUUUUUUUAUGAAAUUAAAAUCAUAUGAUGGUGACAACUCUAUUUCAGACACAAAUUUGAGUUCUACAUACUGAUAAUGGAGGCGAGUAUAUGAGCACAACAAUUCAACAGUUUUUGAAAUCACAAUGAACUCACCACCAAACCACUUGUGUGGGGACACUCCAACAAAAUGGCGUUGCUAAACAAAAAAAUAGACAUUUACUAGAAGUUGUUCAAGCAUCACUAAUUUAGGCCCGCAUGCCACUAUUUUAUUGGGGAGAAGCAUUGGCAUCCGUAGCAUACUUGAUCAAUCGGACACCUUCAAUCUUCCUUGGAUUCCAAACUUAUUUUCUAGUUCUAAAUGAAGAAUUAUGUCAUCAAAUGUGUCGAAUUUACCCCCACAUAUGUUUGGUUGUGUUGCCUUCGUUCAUUUGCCAUGACAAGAUAAAUUAUCUCCUCGAGCACUACGUUGUGUGUUUGUAGGGUAUGCCUUACAUCAAAAGGGGUACCGAUGCUAUCAUCCUCUAUUAAGAAAAAAUAUACAUCACCAUGGACAUAAUCUUUCAUGAAGAUAUCAUGUAGUACCCAUCGGAGCUUGAAUUUCAGAGGGAGUAUAAUGAAGAGGAAAUUCAUACUCUUACAUAUCUUUCACCUGAAGAAGAUCAAUCCUCCAUUGAGGUAGUAAACGUUCAAGAUACUGGAAAAGAAAACGACAAUGAUUCUCAGGCUGAGACAAGUGAAGACACAUUUAGGGAGCAAAAUAACUCAGACAUAACCACAAUCGAGAACGAGUCCAUGAAGAGCCACAUGAAGAAAUAUCUAACCAAUCAUCUGCAGAGGAUGAUCCUACCACAAAUCCCAGUCUAAUCAGAAGAAUACUUCCCCAGCAUCAAAAUAGAGGUAUCUCUAAACCCACAUAUAAGACUGACCUCUCUAGUAGAGUCAAAUACCCUAUGAGUCAUUUUGUAUCUAACCAUGGCUUAUCAAAAUCAAAUCAGUCAUUUGUGAAUCAAUUAUCUACUGUGUCUAUUCCUAACAGUGUGCAAUAAGCCUUAAAAUAUCGAAAGUGGAAAGGGCUAUGAAUGACGAAAUGAGAUCUCUUUAAAAAAAAUCAAACAUGGGAACUAAUUGAUCUUCCACCAGGAAAGAAACCAGUGGGUUGCCGAUGGAACUAGUUGAUCAUCCACCUCCAUUCUGACAAGCAAUGUUUAUCAGCAAUAACAAAUGACUGAAGCAUUUUAAUGAGGUUAGUAACGAAAAAGAGUUUAAUUAGAGAAUAUUAUAAGAGAAAUUCUAAUUUUUGAUUUUUAAUAAAUUAAAAUAUCUUAAAAUAUUAUUAGUUGGUGGUGGUUUCAUGUCAGAUUAAGACGUGACACCUUACUAAUGAGGUCGAGACAAUUAGCUUAAAUUAUUUCAAUGCAUUUGAAAUUUCCACUAAUGACUAUAAUUCUUUGUCCUAAUUACUAUGAUAAUUAAUAACAUACAAUUGAAAUAGUUAAUAUUAGCACUUGGCAAUAAAUAAUUAAAUUUCAUUAACACUAAAUAAUAAUUGAAUAUGGCUUUGUACAUCGAUGACGCCAGCAACAAGGGGACCGCGAUUAUCACUCUUUAAGUUGCUUUUAAAAUUGAUUUUAGUAGUGAUAUGAUUAUUGUAGUGUUUUUAUUUUUUAUAUUAAAAUUAAGUGAUUUGUUAUAAUAAACUUAGUUGAGUUUAAUGGUAUUACUACAUAAAUUGAAUAGUUAUCAAAUAUUUUAAUAUUUUUAUGGCAAGCGUUGACGUGGCAUUUAUUUGUUGUAUGAUGGAUUUUAAAAUUUAUAAAAUUAUUUGUUAUUAAAUUACCCCCAGAUGCUACAUCACCUGAAACUUAAUAAAGGUAUGAAGACAUGUGUGUGUGGACUGAAAUGAAGAAUAUGGAAAAGUUGAGAGCUGUUGUGCAGAUUGAGUUCAGUUGAUGGGGUCUAUUAGAUAUUGUCUGCUGACGUGGCAUGAAUUCGUUAUAAUCUGUUAUAACGAGUUCAGUAUAUCAGUAUACAAUAGAGCUGAUGGAUGGUGCCUGUUUUAGAGUCUUUUUUAUAUUCAUUUGUUCAUCAUUUUGCGCAAGAUCUGUUCCAUUGUGAUAUGUGUAAAGUCUUAUGUAAACCCACUUAUGAUUGGAUUAGUUCUUGAUUAAUAACAACGAGUAAAUUUUCCUUCAAGUGUGCUGGUCUGUGCCCCUGUUUUUUGUUCUGAUAUUGUUUCUUUGUUCUGGCAUUUCAUUUCGAUUGUGUUCUUGGUGUUUCUACUCAUCAAGAUUUAUGAGUCUUGUUGAGAUUAAAGACUUAAUAGUCUUAACAAGUGGUAUCAGAGCCUGGUGAAUCUCAGCCAUGUCUCUUUCGAAGCAUGAAAUUGAAAAAUUCACCAUUGGUGGUGAUUUCUCGCUUUCGAAAUUAAAAAUGAGGGCUCUCCUUGUGCAUUAGAGGCUUGAAUUUGCUCUGGAAAAAGAUAAUCUAGAGGCUGCUACAAGUUAUGUGACUGAUGAUAAGAAGAGACAAAUCCAAAACCGAGCUCGUAGCACUCUAGUUUUGAGUCUUGGUGACUCAAUCUUGAGAAAGAUUUCUGAAGAGAAGACAACCUUAGGGAUUUGGAACAAGGUAGAAGCUUUGUGUACAAAGAAGUCGCUAGCUCACAGACUAUUCUUGAAGAAAAAGUUAUACACAUUCUCGAUGAGAGAAGGAGUCACAAUUCAAGAUCACAUUGAUACCUUCAACAAGAUCAUUCUUGAUCUUGAAGGGGUGGAAAAUGUGACAAUAAGUGAUGAAGAUAAAGCCUUCUUCUUGUUGAGUUCCUUACCAAAGUCUUAUGAAGGCUUUGUAGAUACAAUGCUUUAUGGCAGAACAACAUUGACUCUUGAAGAUGUUAAAGCAUCUCUAAGUUCAAAAGAGAUUCAGAAGAACAAUGAGAUUGAAACAAAUAAUGGUGAUGGGCUGAUUGCCAGAUCAGAAAAGAAGAAAGAUCAGAAGAAUAAAAAUCAGGGAAAAUGACAUGGAAAGAAUUAAGAAAAUGCAGACAAGAAGAAAAAGAAGAGAAAAUGCUUCUACUGCCGGAAGGAAGGGCAUUACAUCAGGGAUUGUCUUAAAAAGAAAAAAAAAGAAAGUCAAGAGAAGUCAGGGGAUGCAGCUGUAGCCUCUGAUGAUGCCUCUGAUGGAUAUCACAUUGCUGAUUUACUUGUGGCCUCAAAUAGCAAUACUAAAGGUCAGUGGGUCAUAGACUCUGAGUGCUCUUUUCACUUGUGGCCUGAUAAAACCAUAUUUUACAAAUAUGAAGUUGUUGAUGGUGGUAGAGUCUUAAUGGGAAAUAAUAAUGUGUGUAAUCUUGUUGGUAUUGGUUCUGUGAAGAUCAAGAUGUUUGAUGGAACUGUAAGAGCUCUACAUGAGGUGAGGCAUGCUCCUAGGCUAAAGAGAAAUCUAAUCUCUUUAGGCAUGCUAGACAGCUUAGGGUAUUUCUUUAAAUCAGAAAGUGGUGGUUUAGAGAUAAGAAAGGGGACUGAGAUAGUGAUGAAGGGGGUUAAAGAAAAUGGCUUAUAUGUAUUGUAAGGCUCAUCAGUGCUUCUUCAAAAGGGAAUUUCUGCUCUUUUUGAGGAAGAUAUAACCAAGUUAUGACAUCUUAGACUUGGUCAUAUGAGUGUCAAAGGGAUGUAAGAGCUCAGCAAACAAGGGCUACUUGGUGGGGAUAGAAUCCAGCAACUGGAAUUAUGUGAAAAUUGCAUUUUUGGCAAAGCUCACAGGUCCAAGUUUCACAAGGGGGAGCAUAUGUCUAAGCAAGUUUUGGACUAUGCACAUGCUGACCUUUGGGGGCCUGCUCAAGUCCCAUCCUUGAGUGGUGGCAGGUAUUUCAUAUCACUAAUUGAUGAUUACUCAAGGAAGAUGUGGGUCUACAUACUCAAGACCAAAGAUCAAGCCUAGGAAAAAAUUCAAGGUAUAGAAAUCUUUGGUAGAAAAUCAAUUUGGAUUCAAGCUCAAAUGCUUGAGAACUGAUAAUGGUUUGGAAUUUUGUAGCAAAGAAUUUGAGGAAUAUUACAAAAAAACAUGGCAUAAAAAGGCACAAAACAGUCAGGUUCACCCCCCAGCAGAAUGGCUUGGCUGAAAGGAUGAACAUGACCUUGGUAGAUAAGACCAGAUGUAUGUUGAUAAAUUCAAAGCUUCCAAGAAGCUUUUGGGCAGAAGCUGUCAAUACAACAAGUUGUUUGGUUAACAGAAGCCCAUAUUCUGCAAUUGGCUUCAAAACACCAGAAGAAUUGUGGAAGGAAAAACCUGUAAAUUACCAAAAUCUCAGUGUUUUUGGAUGCCCUGCUUAUCUCCACAUCAAUCAAGGCAAGCUGGAAGCUAGGGCCUUGAAAGGAGUCUUUGUUGGAUAUCCUGAUGGGGUUAAGGGAUACAUAAUCUGGUGUAGAGAGUAAGGGAAGUGUAUAGUCAGCAGGGAUGUUGUGUUUCAUGAAUUUGGAUUGCUAAAAGAAAAUGCAGAGAAUGAUACUAGACUACAAAAUGAUUCAAUAAUUAUCAAACAAUCUGGAACUUCCAAGGUUAAGGUGGAGCUGUUUGGAAAUAAAGACAGUAGAAAAGAGGUAGCUGAUUAUGAAGAGAGGACCACAGCUAAAGUUGAGGAACAUGAGUCAUCAGAGUUGCCACAAGCUGACUUGCAGACUUAUCAGUUAGCAAGAGAUAGAGUUAGAAGAGAAGUCAAAGCACUAGUGAGGUAUGGCUAUGCUGACUUAAUUACUUAUGCAUUGUUGUGUGCUGAUGAUGUGGCAAUUGAAGAGCCUGCUAACUUCUCUGAAGUUAUUGAAAGUGUGCAUUGUGAUAAGUGGCUUGAGGCAAUGCAAGAUGAAAUGGGAUCCCUUCAAAGAAAUCAGACCUGGACACUUGUUCCAAAUCUAGGUAAUAAAAAGUUGAUCAGUUGUAAGUGGAUCUUCAAGAAGAAUGAAGGAAUUCCAGAUGUUGAACCUCCCAAAUAUAAAGCAAGGCUAGUGGCUAGGGGGUUUACACAGAGAAAGAGUGUAGAUUUCAAUGAAAAAUUUUCCCCUGUUCUUAAGCACAUUUCAAUAAGAAUUUUAUUAGUCAUGGUAGCCUUACUUGACUUGGAGCUUGAGCAAAUGGAUGUAAAAACAGCAUUCCUUCAUGGUAAUCUUGAAGAACAGAUAUUGAUGGCACAACCUAAAUGUUUUGAGUGCAAAGGAAAUGAGGAUUAUGUUUGUUUGCUGCAUAAGUCCUUGUAUGGACUCAAGCAAUCCCCACGACAGUGGUACAUAAGAUUUGAUGAUUUUAUGGUCUCAAAAGGCUAUCACAUAAGCAAAUAUGACAGUUGUGUUUACUUUGGUGGAUCAUAUCAAGGUGGAGUUGCUUAUUUGCUUCUGUAUGUUGAAGAUAUGUUAAUUGCAAGAAAAUAUAAGUUGGAGAUAGAGAGGUUGAAGAAAUGAAGGAUCUCGGCAAUGCCAAAAGAAUCCUUGGGAUGAACAUUACAAGGGGCAGAUCUGCUGACACUUUGUUCUUGAGUCAUGAGAAAUAUAUCAAGAAGGUUCUGGAGAGGUUUGAGAUGCAAGACUAUAAACCUGUCCAAACACCACUUGGUCCCCAAUUCAAGUUGACAGCAGCUCAAUCAUCAGAAGAUGAGUCUCAGGUGAGUGAAUUCCCAUAUGCACAGGUUGUAGGGAGCCUGAUGUAUGUAAUGGUAUGCACCAGGUCAGAUAUAGCUUAUGCAGUAAGUGUUGUCAGCAAAUUUCUCAGUUGUCUAGGCAAGGUUCACUGGAAUGUUGUAAAAUGGAUAAUGAGAUAUCUUAAGGGCUCUUUUACUUGUGGUUUGCUGUAUGGGAAGACUAAGAGUGACAUAAGUGAAGUCCUGGGGUUUGUAGACUCUGACUUUGCUGGAGAUCUUGAUAGAAUGAAGUCAACCUCAGGGUAUAUGUUUGUGUUAAACAGUUGCCUGAUUAGCUGGAAGUCAUCACUUCAGUCUGUGGUUGCUUUAUCCUCAACUGAAGCUGAGUUUGUUGCAACUACAGAGGCAGUAAAAGAGGCCAUGUGGCUAAGAGGUUUGCUUAAUGAGUUAUGGUUAAAUCAGAAAAUUGUUCAGGUUUUCUGUGAUAACCAAAGUGUCAUACACCUGGUAAAGAAUCAGAUGUAUCAUGAAAGAACCAAGCACAUUGAUGUGAAGCUCCAGUUUAUCAGAGAUGAGGUUGGAAAAGGAACUAUAAUUGUGUCCAAGAUCUAUACCAGUGUGAAUCCAACUGAUGUUAUUACAAAAGCACUUCCCACUGCAAAAUUUGAAUUCUAUGUGAAUCUAAUGGGCAUCUCGCCCAAACCUAACUAAAUUCAAUAGUGAAUUGUAGUUGAAUGAAGGUUUUUUAGGUGCUGUGUUAUUGAAAGGAUCAACUGAAUCAACUGCAAGGUGGAGAAUGUGAAGAUGUGUGUGUGGACUGAAAUGAAGAAUAUGAAAAAGUUGAGAGCUGUUGUGCAGAUUGACUUCAGUUGAUGGGGUCUAUUAGAUAUUGUCUGCUGACGUGGUAUGAAUUCGUUAUAAUCUGUUAUAACGAGUUCAAUAUAUCAGUAUAUAAUGGAGCUGAUGGAUGGUGCCUGUUUUAGAGUCUUUUUCGUAUUCAUUUGUUCAUCAUUUUGCACAAGAUUUGUUCCAUUGUGAUCUGUGUAAAGUCUUCUGUAAAUCCACUCAUGAUUGGAUUAGUUCUUGAUCAAUAACGAGUAAAUUUUCCUUCAAGUGUGCUGGUCUGUGCCCCUGUUUUUGGUUCUAAUAUUGUUUCUUUGUUUUGGCAUUUCAUUUCGAUUGUGUGCUUGGUGUUUCUACUCAUCAAGAUUUGUGAGUCUUGUUGAGAUUAAAGGCUUAAUAGUCUUAACAAAAGGGAAUGUAGCAUUGCCAUUAAUCAACAUUCACUCUUAUGACUUUAUGACAUUAGAAUUAAAAUCUUUCGUACAUUUAAUUUAUUUGCUUCCAAAUUAAUCUUUAAUAAAUAUUUUUUCACAUUAUCAUCAAUGGACAAAACUCCAACGAAAAUAACUACACGAGAACAAUUUAUGCUAGUAUUAAAUGCCACGAUAUCUAUAACUUUGUCUGGAUCGAUCAUUCUAAUUUUUUCGCAGAACUUUUUGUCAAUGGACAAACACCUCACAGAGCUUGUCAGCCGCAUUAUUACGAUGUAAAAUUGUACCGGAAUAUCUUGAAUUAUUAGUAGAAUAAUGAAGACUAUUUGGGGCAAUAAAAACAAAUAACGCAGAUAAAAAAAUGGCUAAAAUUAUGUAAGUGAGCCCCAAAGUUUUUGCUAUUUCCAGGAAAUCCCAAAUUUGAAUGGACUAGAGGGAGGCACGUAAGAAAUACAUUUUCUUCCUAGACAAUGACAGCUAUGACAUCAAGCCACGGUGGCGUCAGUAUUGAAAUUAAGGUGUAAUUAUUCAGCCAAUGAGCCUUACACAUCAAGAUAAAAGUCAAGAUAAUGAAAAUUUGGCUGUUUCCAUUUGAAGUUAAAAGCAACGUUUCUUUCGUUUUGUGGGCGACUCGACUGAGCACGCCCCAAUAGCUAUAUUUAGGGCGUCAAUUUGAUAUUUGAAUGGACAGGCAAGUAAGAAAUACAUUUCCUUCAUAGACAAUGACAACGAGGACAUCAAGCCACAUCAUUAUAGUUUGUAGCCCAUCUACAUUUAAACGAUUAAUAAACAAGCUUAGGUGUGCCACUGCUAUUAUUAAUUAUCCCCUGAUCAUUAUAGUUUCUGAAACAGUAAAACUAAACGAAAUUGAAUACAUCAACGAGACCGCAAUUAUCACUUGUUUAGUUGCGGUAUUUAACUUAAUUUUAAUAUAAUAUAUUUGUUAGUUAAACUUUUAAUAAUCAAAUAAUUUUGAUUUAAAAAUAAAAUUAUAGAAAUUAUUAAUUAUUAAUUAUUAAAAAUUCACAAUUAAGGGAACGUUCAUCAAACACACAUAGCUAUUGUUUUCUCUAUAUAUUGCAGUGUGUACGAUAUUGAGGGUUGAAGCCCCAAGCAUGCUCUAAAAUCCAGAUAAUAAUUAGAUCCGGGCCAAAUAUUCAUCAUUGUGUCAGCUGAUCAGUCGGUGGACAUCUCUAUUGAAAAUAUCUCUGACAUUUCACUCGACAAACUUAUUAAUAUAAAAAAUCUGUGGUUUUGCCGUCUGAAUAAUGUAGAAAAAUUUGUCUAUGCAUUAAUCUAGAUGUUUGAGGUGAUUUAUACAUCUGUGGUAAAGAUUUAUAGGUUGACUUAGACGUCUGUGGUAUAGAUUUUAUGUAUUUCAUUACAAAAUGCUGGCCGUUAGAACCCUUUCUACAUCUAUUUAUAAGAUUAACGGGUGCCAGCUAUGCCAUUACAAAUUAUCCCCUCAUCAGAUAUUUCGUUAAAAUUCAUUCUGAAACACUAAAACUAAAUAAUCGAAUAUGGCUUUGCGGGUCGAUGAUGCCAGCAGCAAUGAGACUGCAAUUAUCACUUGUUUAGUUUCUGUGCUGGCCGUGGUUUACUUCGCAUGGAAUGUGAAAAAAUCAAGGAAAGCAAAUGCUACACUGCCACCAGGACCUCGCGGCUUGCCUGUAUUCGGAUACCUCCCAUUUCUUGGAACUACUGACUUGCACAAGAAAUUCACGGAAUUAUCCGGAGUUUAUGGUCCGAUCUUCAAGCUUUGGCUUGGAAAUAAAUUAUGUGUAGUGGUGAGCUCACCUUCCCUAAUUAGACAAGUGGUUCGUGAUCAAGAUACAACAUUCGCGAACCGUGACCCACCGAAGGCUGCACUAGUGGUCUCCUAUGGUGGCAAUGAUAUUGCAUGGUCCAAUUACGGUCCCGAAUGGAGAAAGUUGCGCAAAUUUUUUGUGGGCAAGAUGAUGAAUAACGCAAGCCUUGAUGCUUGUUAUGCUCUAAGAAGACAAGAGGUUAAAAAUACUAUCAGGGAUUUGUAUAACAACGACAACAAAAUUGGCAAGCCCAUUGACAUUGGUGAAUUGUCGUUUUCAACAUUGGUAUGUGCUAUACAGAACAUGCUGUGGGGUGAAGCGCUUGAAUUAAAAGAGAAAGGGACCACUAAUCUUAGGGCUGGGCUAAAAUUUAAGCUGGCAGAACUCAUGGUGCUUGCGGGAACACCGAAUAUUUCGGAUGUCUUUCCAAUGCUUUCAUGGCUUGACAUACAAGGUAUAGAGAGGAGAGCAAAGAAGAUUUCACUCUGGCUUGAUAAUGUUAUAAAUUCUACUGUUGAACAGCAUAGAAACAAGGAGUUAACUGUUGAAGGUGAAGAAAGAGCGGGGAAAAAUUUUGAAGGAUCAAGGAACAAGAACUUCUUGCAGUUACUAUUGGAGCUUCAAGAAAAUGAUGACAGUGCUUCCUCAAUUAGCAUGAACCAAUUCAAGGCCGUACUCGCGGUAUGUUAAGCAACUAGCCACGAACAGUUAUACAAGCACAAUUGUAUAUUUGCAUGAGUGAUAUUUUCAACCUUUUUUUUUAAUUAGAAUUUUAUUGUCACCUUUUGGACAGGAUAUAAUUACGGCUGGAACCGACACCACAACUACGAUGGUGGAAUGGACAAUGGCAGAGUUGAUGCAGCAUCCACAAGUAAUGAAGAAAGUUCAGGAAGAAUUAGCUCAAGUUGUGGGCAUGGACAGUUGUGUUGAAGAAUUUCACCUGUCUAGAUUAAUGUAUUUAGAUGCUGUGGUGAAGGAAACAUUUCGUCUGCAUCCUGCAGUGCCUUUAUUACUACCACGUAGGGCAAGCGAGAGUGGCAACAUUGGUGGCUAUACCAUUCCCAAAGAUACAACUCUUAUGUUGAAUGUUUGGGCUAUCCACAGGGACCCUCACCUUUGGGAUAAUCCCUUAGAAUUUCGACCCGAGAGGUUUCUGAAUGUUGGUAUCGAGAGUAAGUUCGAUUACUCAGGUAACAAUUUUCAGUACUUGCCAUUUGGUUCUGGUAGAAGGAUGUGUGCUGGGAUUCCUCUAGCUGAGAGGAUGCUGAUGUUUGUUUUGGCUUCGUUAUUGCACUCAUUCGAGUGGGAAUUGCCAACUGGCACAAAGCUAAACUUAUCAGAAAAAUUUGGGAUUGUCAUUAAGAAAAAAGAGCCUUUGGUUGCUAUUCCAACACCAAGACUAUCCAAUUCAGAGCUCUACCAUUAAGACCAAAUGGUUGUGAUGAUUUUGUUAAUUUCCGAAGAUUUGUAUGUUAUUUCAAGUUCAAUCGUAGUAAAAUAUUUCAAAUAAGAGUCCUCCGUUGCUUUUUUUUUUUUUUUUCAACGGCAUAAUCUGUGGUCAUGCUUGUAUUUGGAGCCACUUUAGAAAAAUUAUGUUUGAAUUACAAUUUAUAAAUAUUACAUUUUAAAAUAUUAUGAGGCUAAAUUUAUACACGUUCAAUAACCCGCUUCAUAUAUAUUUAACACAAUUUAUAUCAUACAUUGUACACCCAUUUAUCAUAAAUUACACUAUUU
rnacentral:lncRNA from 1 species